ACUAAGUUGGUGUUUUGUGUCAAGAUUUGGAAAGUUUUGAAAGUCUUGGUUUUUUAGACUUAAGGGUAGCAAUGCACUCUUUAAAUGCCCAAAUGAUAAUUAGUGUCAACAUAUAGGUGCAAGAAAUGUUAUACUUUAGUUGUUUUUCAAGCUAGCUAUGUUUGGUGCUGAGACGAGACUGGACAAAAUUGGUGUUUUCAAAUAUUGUUUUAGAAUAAAUUCAAGCAGACCAAUAAAAUGAUGACACGUCUGUCCUGUUAUAAAAAAAUUAUUAAAAAAAAGUUUUUAAAACAUAUAUACAUGACUUUCAAAACAUUAAAUAAAACUCAAACACUUUGAGAGAGACAUAUAGAUAAAGAAACAUAUAGACUCAACAAAUAUUUGAGAAAAAUAUAUCUCUUCCAAACUAAAAAAAAAAUAUCACAAUGUGGGCUUUGCUAUUGGAGUUUUUUUUUUUUUUUUUCUAUAAGAUUGUUUCAUGAUUAGUUGUGGAUAGAAAGGAAAUAAUAGAAGAUGAAGAUGGUUUGAAAGAGGAGAAACAGUUCAGAAAAAUUCCUAGUCCAAAUGGCUUUAAAUUUGGGUUUGAUAAAUUAAGAGAUUAAAGUUGCCUAAAAGUUUUUCUUCCUAAUUUUUUUGACUUUGAUGUUAAAAAAACCCACCAUAACCCCUCUCUAUGCAUAGCUCGGUCUCUUUUUAUCAAAAGUAUCUAUAAAGUAAUGACUAAAAUGUUGAUAUUAGUUAUUUCUUUUUGACAAUUUACCUUACUUUCUAAAAGGAAAAUUUUAGAUGAGUUUGAGAUGCUUUUUCUUAAACUGUACUUAGUUUUUGUCAAAAAUAGAAGGUUUGACUACUUUUAUUUCUAAGUUAAAGGAAACUCGUAUAAUGAAUAUUGGAAAUAUUUCUUAUUUUGAUGUUAAAGAAGAGAGUGAGAUAUCAUUUGUACAAUAUAUUUGAUGAUAUAUUUGUACAAUAUUUAUAAGGGAUGCAUAUAUGAAUAACUUAUUAUGAUUUUAACACGUUAUUACACUAUCUAAAGGAUAAUUUUGACCAAAUUUAACUUAUUAUAUAACCAAGAAGACAAACUCGUUGCCUCAAUAACUAUUUGGUCCACAUUACUCCUAUUUGUUGUUAAAGUUAAAGAACAAAAGUUGACCAAACCAUAACAAAUCUCGUUACAAUCUAAUGAAACGCAUUAUAUCAUUGUAAUGUCAAAUUCAAAAUAAUUUUUAUCGAGAGUAAAUUCAUAAUUUCUAGUUUCCAUCAUUAUGAUAUAUUUUUUAAUUAAUUAUGUAUAAAAUUGAGUUUUUAAUCAGUUUGACACGAAAUCAGUAAUUAAUAAUGGUUAUUUUAAGGAGAACAUGCUUUUUACUUUCAAGGAAUUAUUUCGUAAGUUUUAAAAUAAUGCUUAUCACUCUAAAUUUCUAGGAAAUGGAAUCAUUUAUAUUCUCGUGUAAUUAUAUCUCAAGUACCAUUGAUUAUCAGCUAGUGAAGUGUAGGGGUAAAACUAUAAAAUUGUGACUGAGAAAAAGUUUCUACGAUUAUAAAGAUAGAUCAAUAUAUUAUGAUUAGAUUUUAAAAUCUAAAAUAAAUUUAUUUAAUGUAGUUUUGCUAAUUUUAAGUUUACCAAGUUUUAUGAAAAUUAAGGAUCACCCACAUAAAAGGUAUACAAUGGACUGUUGGUAUUAGCUUCCACUAUAUUAUACAUUAAAGAGACUUUAAAUAGAGUUGACCAAAGUAGAAGAUUAUUCAAAUAUUAGGUAUUUAUUGUGCUUUAUACCUCCAUCUUGUGUUGGUUUGGUCAAUAAUAGUAAAGUUGAUGAUGUGUUGUGAAUGUUUUUGGUGAGGUUCAAGUACGUUUAGAAUGAAUGCAUGACUUCAAUUUUGAAGGUUAUCCUGAAACUCCAAUGGUCUUUCAUUCUCACAUAGAGAAGAUUGAUCCAUGUCGUAAGGAGUAAUAGGAGGUCUUAGUAUUGGAAGCUUCCAGUAUGUUCCAAGGCGCGGAACAGACUAACCUCGUGAGUGUGGUAGGAUAAAACUCACUUGCAAUGACUUUGCAAAGCAGUAGAAGCCACCACGAGGGCACAACCCGUCAUAGCUCGACAAUCAUUCUAAGUCCAGACAAUCCAUGCACAUUAAGUGUUGUGCAGUGAUAUGUUUGUUAAUGUAAUUAACAUGCUUUAAAUGAGUUCAUAUAUAAAUAUAAAUAUAAAUAUAUAUAUAUAUAUAUAUAUAUAUAUAUAUAUAUAUAUAUAUAUAUAUAUAUAUAUAUAUAUAUAUAUAUAUAUCACUCCUCUAUUGUAAACUAGUUUAUCCUUGUAUUUAUGUGGUCUGUCUUUGUUUGUUAUUUUUCUAUUAUGACGAUUACCUUGAUGGUUUGAACUUAUGGGUGCAAUCUUUAAGUUGACUCAGCAGAAGAUAUAUUUUUGUUCUUGAGGUGAAAAAUUAUAUUCUUCACAAAUUUGUUGUCCUUAUCAUAUCAUUAUCCAUGUGAUGUUUCAUUUUAAUAGUUUUAUUGUUAAAUUUUUACAUGAAACUUUAUUGAAUAUUCAUUUGAUUACCAAUAUUUUGAGAUUCAAUAUUAAUGAAUCAUGAAUAAACUCCACAAAAAACAUUAUAUAAAAAAAACUAAAACAAUAUGUUUUUAAACCAUUCUACUUUAUAUAUAUAGUUUGUUAUAAAAAGUAUAUUUGAUUUUUUAGGGAGGCUUCUUCCUAUACCUCCAAGUUAACAUUUUUAUCCUUCAGUAGAAAAAUAUAUAUAUAAAAAAUUAGGUAAGCACGGUUUACCAAAUUGUCAGCAUGCACCCCUUAGUUGCCACUCUUCACUCUUCAUCCCUUCUCGUUUGUUGAAUUUUCAUCACAAAAGCAAAAUCUCACGUUUUGCUCCGUUCACCUUCAUCUCAUUCUUCAUUUCAUCUCAUAUUCUAAGUAUGAGUGUUUUUGUUCCUUAAGGUUUUAAAUUUUAUAUUUAUUUUUAUUGUUUUACAUUUCGAAAUCUAAUUAAAAAAAAUAAAUGAAUUUGGAAUCAACUUGAAUUUUGAAAUUCAAUUAAAAAAAUCAUCGGAUUUUAGAAUUGAGUUAAAUAAGACAUUAAAUUUGUAAAUCCAUUUAAAAAAGUCACUUAAUUGUUUGAAAUAUGGUUAGUGAAUUGAAUUUUGAAAUUCAAGUAAGAUAAUUGCCGAAUUUCGAAAUCUGAAUAAAAAAGUUAAUAUAUUUUGAAAUCUAACAGUUAAAUUAGUUUAUGAAUUUUAAAAUUUGAUUAAAAAAUUGAUUUUUUUUUUUAAAUUAGUUAAAGAAUUAACUGGAUUUCAGAAUCCGUAUUUCUAAAUCUGAUACUUACUUUAUGGUUUUUGAAAUUCGGUAUUGACUUUUAAAUCCGAAACAUUAUCUUUUUUGUUUUACUUUAUAAAAUAUGUUAUACUUCUUUUAAUCUAAAGAAUCAUAUUUUAAAAUAUUAAAAUAUUAACACAUAUUAAAUUCAUUAAAUUAUAUUAAUUAACACAUAUUAAAUAAUAAUAAUGAGAUGAUAAAGAUAAUAAUGAUAAUAAAGAUAAAAUAAUAACAAUAAAAGUAAUAAUGACAAUAGUUUUAAUAAUAAUGAUAAUAAUAAUAAUAAUAAUAAUAAUAAUUAAUGAUAAUGAUAAUAAUAAUAAUGGUAAUAAUAAUGAUAAUAAUAAUAGCAAUAAUGCUAAUAAUAAUUAUAAUGGUAAUAAUAAUAAUGAAAAUAACAAGGAUAAUAAUAACUAUAAUAGUAAUAAUAUUGAUAACCAUAAUAAUAAUAAUAAUAAUAAUAAUAAUAAAGAUAGUAAAGAUAAUUAUCUGAUAAGUUAUUUAAUGAGAUUUUAAAAUUUGAUAAGUUUCGAAACUCGAUGAUUUUUAACUGAAUUUUAAGAUUUAAUGAAAUUUUUAAUUAAAUUUUGAUAUUUAAUAAAUACUUAAACUUGAAUUUUUAAAUUUAAUGAGUUUGUAUAUUAGAUUUUAAAAAUGAAAUAAUUAUAGGAGAGGAAAAAAAAUAUCCUUAUAAAAAUAUAAUAUGAGAAAAUUUGAAGGUACAGAAAUAAAACUUGAAGUAUAACUUCGACAUUAGUAUCAAUCCUGUUAUUCGGUACUAAAGGAUUGUUUGAGUUAUUAUUCAAGAUCUACAACUCUCAUACACACAAAAUUUUACAAUAUAAAAUUUCAAAUCAAAGGAAGAUAAUUUCUUUACCUUUUAGCUUAGUUUAGGGAUGACAAAAACAUCCGUGUAUCCACAGAUUAAAUUCGUUGUGGAUAGUUGGUAUCUGCGAGUAAUAGAUAUAUGUGGAUAGCGAGUUUUUUAAUAUCUGUUUUUUAUCAGGUCGGAUUCGAGUUUUAGAUUAUCCGUAUCCGCGAGUAUCCGUUACAUGUUUAGAAGUUAAAAUUACAUCUUUAUCUUUAGUUUAAAUUAAGUUUUAGGUUUAAUACCUAUUUUGGUCCCUCCUUUAGGAGGGUUUGUUUAAAGUGGUUCCUCCUUUUUUCAAAAGUUCACUUAAGUCCCACUUUUUGCAAAAACUGUUCAAAAUGGUCCUUUUUGCUAACGGCGUUAACUUUCUUAACGGCACAGCUGCCAGGUGGCUAAUAUCUGCUGAGGUGUAACGUUUUGGCUGUGUUGGCACUGUUGUGUGUUUUAAAAAAAAUAAUUAAUUGUGAGGUGAAAUUUAAUAAAAUUAAGUUUAAAUUAAAAAUUGAAUUUGGGAUUAAUUGGGGUUAAUUAAAAUUAGGUUUAACAAAGACUUCCCCUGUCAUCUUUAUCCCAAUUAUUCUUUCUCAUGACAACUUCUUCAUCAUAGUUUAUUCCAACCAAAACCAUUUUUCAUCGAACCAACAACACGCGAGCUCCGUCACCUGAAAAUCCGAACAAAGGCACCGAAACUGCAGGUCGUAGNNNNNNNNNNNNNNNNNNNNNNNNNNNNNNNNNNNNNNNNNNNNNNNNNNNNNNNNNNNNNNNNNNNNNNNNNNNNNNNNNNNNNNNNNNNNNNNNNNNNNNNNNNNNNNNNNNNNNNNNNNNNNNNNNNNNNNNNNNNNNNNNNNNNNNNNNNNNNNNNNNNNNNNNNNNNNNNNNNNNNNNNNNNNNNNNNNNNNNNNNNNNNNNNNNNNNNNNNNNNNNNNNNNNNNNNNNNNNNNNNNNNNNNNNNNNNNNNNNNNNNNNNNNNNNNNNNNNNNNNNNNNNNNNNNNNNNNNNNNNNNNNNNNNNNNNNNNNNNNNNNNNNNNNNNNNNNNNNNNNNNNNNNNNNNNNNNNNNNNNNNNNNNNNNNNNNNNNNNNNNNNNNNNNNNNNNNNNNNNNNNNNNNNNNNNNNNNNNNNNNNNNNNNNNNGUUCGGAUCCGGUUCUUUAGUAAAGAUGAGAACUUGUUGAAAAGUGUUGUGCUUGGUGACUUGGUCUAUGCAGAAGCUACCCCCUCUAAAACUCUAAAAAUUGAAUUUGGGGUUUUGCAGAUUGGGGAUUCUCCAAAUCACGACCAUUCUUCCAAGGCUGAAUGAGGAACAAAAAACAAAUACGUAGACGGAAGGAGAUGAAACAAUGGCAGUUUCAUGAUUCGAACAACAGAGGGACGAAAAUAGAUUGAGGGUUUUUUUCCCCAAUUUAGGGUUUCUAGUUCUAGUUUCACUUUAGGGUUCUUAGGAUUCAGAUUCGGGAUUUUUCUCCAUUUUAGAUUUCCAGAAACAAUUAAGGUUCUUAAUGGGAUUUUUAAUUAAUUACCCUCCAAUUAACCCCAAAUUCAAUUUUCAAUUUAAAUCUAAUUUUAUUAAAUUUCACGUCACAAUUAAUUUUUUUUUUAAAACACACAACAGUGCCAGCACAGCCAAAACUUUACACCUCAGCAAAUAUUAGCCACCUGGCAGCUGUGUCGUUAAGAAAGUUAACGCCGUUAGCAAAAAGGACCACUUUGAACAGUUUUUGCAAAAGGUAGGACUUAAGUGAACUUUUGAAAAAAGGAGGAACCACUUUGAACAAACCCUCCCAAAGAAGGAAUCAAAAUAGGUAUUAAACCUAAGUUUUAUUAUUGUGUCUUCUUUGUUUUCUCAACAACUAUUUAAAAGUAUUAACAAUCCAUCUCUUUCAUUUUAUUUGUCUUCUUUGUUUUCUCAACAAUCUUUUUUCUUUCAUUUUCAUUUAUUCUCUAAUUUUCUGCAAAACCCAAUCAUGAUAGUUGUCCCUUUCCUAGAUUCUCUCUUUAUUUAAAUUCUAAACCAUUUAACCCAUCUGAAACUGCCUCUGCAUAAACACUUUCCUUCCACACACUUUAAUUUCCUCUGCAUAAGUUUCCUUUCUCUCUCUCUCUAUUUUCUUAGAUAACACUCUUUCUUCCUUCCACCAUUCUCUUUUUAUUUUAUUUUUCUCAAUUAACUUUUCUUCCACUUACCACAUUUUCUCUUCCCUUUUAAACCCACACUAAAAUACAUCUUAUUAUUCUUUAUUUUAUUCUUUUGUUUUGUUUAACUUCCAGUAACUUUAACUUAAAAUCUAAAAUAUUUUAAAAUUAAAUUUUCAAUUAUAUUUUUUUUAAAUAUUUGCGGGUUUAAAAGGGAUAUCCAACAGAUACUCGUGAGUUGAAACAAAUCUACAUAUUUUUUUAAGAUGGGUAUUCAGUAAGUAGCGGAACGGAUAACAGAUACAAUUUAUCCAACGGAUCAGGUUGCGGGUAGGUACUAUCCGUGUCCGACCCGACCCGUUGUUAUCCGUAGCCUGUAUCCUUUGGAAGCAAUCCUUAUAAAUUCUGAGUAAUUGUUAUAAAUAUAAAGAGUCACAUUAAAAUCAUUUAGAACUUUUAUAAAUAUUAAUCCAACAGAGACUUAUAACAAAACAUUCUUAGUUCUCAUUAUUCCUGGCAAAACAUUUGUAAAACACAUUUAGUCUCUGUUAUUCUAAGUCGUCAUGUGAGGCAGGGUAGGGAUGCUCUGUUCGUUCCUAAAGAAAUUAUGAGGAUCAACCUUUGUCUUUAUUUCAACUAACCUCUCGAAGUUAUUCUUGAAAUACUCCACUCCGUAAACUCUUCCUUCGGUGUAGCUGUUGUUACCAUUCUGGUUAAUUCCUAAGUCAAAGUCCCUAUAAUUGAAGAAAGCUCCUCUUGGAUUCUUGGAGACAAAACUACUCAUGUACUUGUGAAGUAUUCUUGCAUUGUUUAUGUAACGAUCAGCAAAUUCUUUCCCUGCCUCAUUCCAAUUUGCUUGGUAUUGGAUCUUCCAUAGGUUCCCAGCUCGAUGAGGGAAAGGUGAUGCUGUUGAUGGAAUCUCAGACAUUCUUCCACCAUAAGGAUUGAAAUAUAAUGUUACUGUAUUGUCCAACUCAAUCAUCUUCUUCCAAAUCCCUUCCAACCCUGCUCUGGAAAUUGCUUUCUUUACAUAGUCAGAUUUCCUUUUCAAGUAUAUGAGUGAUUUUGGUUGUCUGUCAAGUAAAAUCUCAACAGGCUCUGAAAUGUUGAUGUCUGCGAAAAACAACACGGAACGAAGCCAACUUGUUUCAAUAGAGUCAGAUAGCUUCACACCCAAUUCAGGAAACUUCUCAUUCAAGAGAGAAACAAGGCUUCUCGAGUCACCAAGGAAUAGAGCCAUGAAAGUUGCUCUUCCGGUCUUUGUUCCUUUUUGGGUAUUGUUUACAACGUCCAAGAUAAGUCUAAUGAAAAGGUCGUGACUGAUAGCCGGUGCAACAUGCUGCCAUUUGUAAACUAUAUCAGUAGCAUUUUGCUCGAGCGUUUUUGUAACUUUAAAAACAGUGACUGUAUCUGGAACUCGAACUAGCUUUAUUUUGUAGGCAAUGAUGACGCCAAAGCUAGAUCCUCCACCACCCGUGAUGGCCCAAAAGAGAUCUUCACCCAUGGAUUUUCUAUCAAGCAGUCUACCUUCAACAUCAACCAUCUGUGCAUCAAUAACAUUAUCUACAGUUAGACCAUAUUUUCUCAUCAUGUUGCCAUAGCCACCACCACUUAUGUGACCUCCCACUCCAACAGAGGGACAAACCCCUGCUGGGAAGCCAUGAGUUUUACUCUUCUCAGCAAUUCGAUAAUAAAGUUCUCCAAGUGUCGCACCAGUUUGAACCCAAGCAGUCUCGGAGUCUAUGUCAACCUCAAUGGAUCGGAGUUGGAACAUGUCAAGGAUGAAGAAUGGUUGUGAAGCCACGUAAGACACCCCUUCGUAGUCAUGGCCACCACUACGAAUUUUCAUCAACAAUUUGUGCUUUUUGGCACAGACAAUGGAUGCUUGUAUAUGGGAUACAUGCAAUGGAGUUAGUAUAAGGAAUGGCUUUCGGGUGGUGGAGGUGUUGAAACGAAGGUUUCUUAUGCGGGCUUGCAACACCGAAGAGAAUGAGUCGUUGUUUGCUGUAAAGAUUGCUGAAAGUAUAGGGUGAGAUGACUCUGAAUGGUUUAAAAGACAACGAAGAAAAGUGUCGUGUGCUGCAUUUUCAGGUUCAGCUGAAGCUGAAAAUGCAACUAUAGAAAACAAGAUUACGAGAAAUAACAAUGGUUGUAUUCUCUGAGGAGAAAUGACUUCCAUCUUAUUUUACAAAUGACGUUGUUUGAUAACAUAAACAAAGAAAAGGAUCUUUAGUGAGUUCAUUAACAUGAUCUCUAUUUGAUUUAUAAGCAUUGUAAAAAUUAAGAUUAUUACUUUUUUCAUUAUCAAAAUCACAAUUUUCGCAUACAAUUAUAUUAGAAAAAAAAUAAUUUUUAAAAGAUAUAAUUUUAUUACAUUAAUUUAACAUUACCUAUCUUACUUUUUUAUAAUUAUUUUAUUAUUGUACUUUAUAUUAAAAUGAAUAUAAAAUUGUAUCAUCAUAUAAUUAUUAAUUCAUUUCCUUUUAUUGGUCAUCGUCUAAUUUCCCUUUUACAUUAUUUUGGUUUUUGAAAAAUUAUAAAUGCAAGUAAGCUUAAUAUUUUCAAAUGGAAAGAAAUAAAUAUUAUUAUUAAAUGAAACAUUUAUACUGUACAUGCAUUUUAAAUUGUUAUGUUAAAAGAAAAACAACAAUUCUUUUUUAACAAUUCUUUUUUAACAAUUCUUUUUUAACAAUUCUUUGAUAAGAGGAUACGUAUUACAGUUCUAUUGGUUUGUUUGAAUUAAUUCUAAAAUAAUAUUUGAAACGGACUAAUCACAAACUGCCACAUAUACGUUGUCAAAAAAUUGUCAAAAAAGAAUUGUUAAAGAAACUUUUUUCAAAUAAAAAAUAUAACAACUAUGAUGAAAGAAAAAAGAAGUUUUGAAACAAAGCUCUGUUUAGAAGAGGUAUAGAUGAUAAGCAAUUAUGCAGACGGUUAUUACAAAUUAUUUAAUUAUGGAAAAAGUCUCUUUAACAACUUUUUUUUCACAAUUUUUUGACAACGCAUAGGUGACAAUUUAUGAUUGAUCUGUUUCAAAUAUUUUUUUAAACAUAAAUUCAAACAUACCAAUAAAAUAAUGACACGUUCUGUUAUAAAAAAAUUGUUAAAAAAAAGUUGUCAAAACAUCAUUGUCUUUUAAUUAUCUGGAUGACUUUUGUAGAAUAAUAGCAGCAGGAAGAACGGGGAAGUAGCAGUGCUGCAGCAGCAGCAGCAGAAGAAGACCAGGCCAUCACCAUGAAAGAGACGAAUUGCAGAACAGAAAAUCUGCAACAGCCGCAGCACCAACAAAUCACCACCUCUCGGGGUUUUAUUUCUCGAGAAGUAUCAUCUGCAACAAUUCAACAAAUCCUAAUACUUUUGAAUUGAAUACAUCAACAUGCAAAUAUUUUUAAAAUAAUGUGAAAUCCUUUUUAUAAUAAUAAUAAAAAAAUAAGUUUUCUUUUCAUCAAAAUAAACUCCAUAGGAAUAGAUCUUACUAUUGACUAAGGGGAACAUGCCCCCAUUACACGCAAUUUAUACACAAUUAAACAUACUUACUUUUUGUUUGAUACUGAUGAGUUAACAUUUCGUUAUUGAUUAAAAUCUAUAAAAAUUGUACGGGCAAAGAAUGUAUAACAGCACUUUUUAAGAAAUAAAAUUUUUCAAAAGUGCUAUCAUUGUUAGCAUUUGUAUUUUUCUUUAAAUAUUUUUGGUUUAAUUAUGAUUUUGGUUUUUUUUUUCAUGAAAAUCUCAAAUUGAUGUUUUAAUUAUUGUUAUUUUUAAAUAUAUUUUUAAUUUUUUAAAUGCAAUCUAAUUUGGUCCUUUACAUUAUUAUUGUACUAAUAUUAUUGUCACAUGUUGGUUUGCGAUUUUUUUCUUUUUUAUUUUUUCCUUUUUAAUUUAUCUAUUUCAAAAAAAUUGUUCAUCACAUGGAAUUUCAAAUUUAUUUAUUUCAAAUUAACGAAAGUAAACCUUCAUAGAACAAUUAUCAUUAUUUAUAAUCCGAAUUUGGAUAAUCUAUUGAUGACCAAGAGAGGGAACUUAGUUUUAAAUUUCAAUAUCUUAAUUUCAAUUCAAUCUUUAAAUUUGUUAUUUUAAUUUAAUUAAAUCUUAAUUAUUUUUUUAAAUGUACCCGUGCUGGAUAUUGAAAUCAAAUUUAUUUUUUAUUAUUUUCAACUCUUACGUUAUCUUCCAUUUCUCGAUGCACCUUGUUUCCUCUCCUCUCCAUCUUCCGUUAACAUAUUUGUCUUUUCCAACCAAUAUUGUCAAUUUGUCAUCUCCACCAUUUUUUAACGUUAAUAAUAUUUCAAUUGUUUCAGUUAUUGUCUAAAGUACCACCACUUAUAAUAAUUAACUAUUCUUUAAAAAAAAUGUUUGUUUAACAUUUUUUUUUACACAAAUUUAACACUCAUCACGUGGUGUGUGUCAGUAGGUUCUUUUGGCGGAAAGAAAAAACAUAUUUUAAAAUGUUAAUGAGGAUAAUUUUGAAAAACUUAAUAUAUGAAAUUUGAUUUUGGCAGUUUCAUUUUCACUUUUGCGUCGUUAUUCUUCUCCACUUUCUCGUCUUCUCUCUUCUUUGUUGUCUCUCCCAAAGUUUGGAAUAGAAAUCGCGCCAUCUCUACCAAAUGCCUCAUCUCGAAUCAUCAUUGUUGAGUUCGCUUUUCCUGUCGCUUCAUCUCAUCUCUUUUGUUUUUAUGUUUUGUGAACCCUAAUCGUCUUCUCCACCACUGAUUUUUUUGUAUGAAAUAAGUACAGUUGCAAUGACGUCCAAAAACCCAAAGGUAAGUUCAAGUUUUGGUAUUAUAUAUAAUUGCUUUCUUUUUGCAAGUAAUAACAAUGUUUUUGUAAUGCUUUGUAGUGGCAGGUUCGAAUCUUUCUAGAUUAAUCAACCAUUAUUCAAAUGAAUGGCUUACCGAGAGAUGUCCAUGUAGAUCGAAAUGGGAUGACACCAUUUCGUUGAAUGUGGGUUGAAUGUUUCGCGUAUUAUAUUUGACAAAAUGUUAAGUAGUAAGAUAAUGGUGUAUUUAAUGGACAAUUAAACACUUGAUAAUCACAUAUAAACAACCAAUUACAUUUUGAGGAACUCAAUAACAGUCAAAAAACACUGUUAUUCAGCUGUGGUCCCUUAAGUUUUCAUUGGUGGCUCCUUCAGUUCAACAGGAUGUCCAAAAGCCAUUUUAGACACGCGUAAUCGUUUACAGCCCCUUGUAAACGAUUACAAGGCACAUUUUUAUUCCAAAGCUAGCAGAACUUCACUUGACUCAAUAAUCUCACCAUGGGUGGUCCCCUUCUCCAUCAUGGGGGACCCAAAACAUUAAGUUCAAGGCACUCCUCACUCAAGAACAUCAAAUUACAAUUAAAACCACUAUACUUGGUCAAAAAAAACUGUUAUUCAGUUGUGGUCCCCUACGUUUUCACUGGUGGCUCCUUCAGUUCAACAGGAUGUCCAAAAACCAUUUUAGACACGCGUAAUCGUUUACAGCCCCUUGUAAAUGAUUACAAGACACAUUUUUACACCAAAGCUAGCAGAACUUCACUUGACUCAAUAAUCUCAACAAGGGUGGUCCCCCCUUCAUUAUGGGGGACCCAAAACAUUAAGUUCAAGGCAUUCCUCACUCAAGAACAUCAAAUUACAAUUAAAACCAUUGGACUUGGGUCAAAACACACUGCUAUUUAGUUGUGGUCCCCUACAUUUUCACUGGUGGCUCCUUCAGUUCAACAGGAUGUCCACAAACCAUUUUAGACACGCGUAAUCGUUUACAACCCCCUUGUAAACGAUUACAAGGCACAUUUUUACACCAGAGCUAGCAGAACUUCACUUGACUCAAUAAUCUCACCAUGGGUGGUCCCCCAUCCAUCAUGGGGGACCCAAAACAUCAAGUUCAAGUCAAUCCUCACUCAAGAACAUCAAAUUACAAUUUAAAGGACUGGACUUCGGUCAAAACACAUUGUUAUUCAGCUGUGAUCCCCUACGUUAUCACUGGUGGCUCCUUAAGUUGAACAGGUUGUCCAAAAUCUAGUUCAAACUCGCGUAAUCGUUUACAGCCCCCUUGUAAACGAUUACAAGGCACAUUUUUACAGCAGACAUAGCAGAACUACAGUUGUGGUCCCCUAUGUUUUCACUUGUGGCUCCUUCAGUUCAACAGGUUGUCCAUAAUCUAAGUUAGACUCGCGUAAUCGUUUACAGCCCAUCGUAAACGACUACAAUGCACAAUUUAGCACCAUCAUCUUCACCAAUUCAGCUAAAUUCAUCAAUUCACAAACAUUUCUUCAUUCUUGUGUCACAAACAUUAUCACUUGCAAAUCAAAAUAUAAAGCACUUCAAUAACAUACGGAAUAAAAUUGCAAUUAUCAAUUACAUAAAUAGAUGGAACCAAACAUGCAUGUUCUAUAUAUUGAACGAAAUAGGUUUAAUUGCAACAUCUUGUUCUUGUCCUAUUCAAAACCUUAUACAAUAAUCAAUCAUUUUUCUUUCUAACUACUACAUUUCCGGUGUAUGGUGUCCUAAGUGUUUAGCUCUUAUAACGCCUUAUUGAUCCAAUCCUCACAUACGUCUUCAAAUGUGAUUGGUUGUUGGACAUUCCACCCAGUGCGUUUGGCGACAUUCCACCUUGUUCGGUCUUGCACAUUCCACCUGGUUCGUUGCUCGACAUUCCACUCGAUGCUCAAAGAAAACAACUCAAAUGUAAACACCAAAGCAAAUAACCAAAAAACCAAAAGGGGUCGAAGAAACGACAAGAAACCCAAUACCCAAACGAAAAACCCAAUACCCAAACGACAACAUCAACAGAAUGCGACAUGAAACGAAAAACCCAAUACCCAAACCUACAACAAAAUGGUUUGAGAACGCAUUUACGUUGCUCUAACGAAGUUGUUGUUUGGAACUUCCCAUUUUGAACAAGGACAACGACUACAAACUGUGAGAACGGACAAUCAAAAACCAAAAUGCAGGGAGAACAAUAACGCGCAGAGAGAAUGAAAUGUGAGAGAGAACGUAAUGAAACACGACAAGAGCAUAAUUGGAACGAAUAUAUUUGAAACCCUAUAAGUUUUCGCUGCCAGAUUUUAUAAAAAAAAAUUGGGCCAAUGGAAAGCUGACAACUCGCGUUGUCAAAUUUGUGUUAAAAAAGGAGUGUCAAAAUACCGGGACCCAUUCUUUAAAUAUGAUUUUUUUUCAUUGUCUGAACGUUUACACAAUCGUAAGUUAAUAAAUUCAAUAUUUUAAUGUUAUUUAAAGAAGACUUUUCCUAAAACUGCAUCUCAUUCAUUAAUUAUAUGACUGUUUAGAUAACAUAGAAGAGGUACAUAAUUAAAAAACAAUACAUUUCAUAAUUUAAUACGAAACCAACAUAAUUUGUUAACCCACUUAUCUACACACAUUAAUAUAUAAACAAAGUAAUUAAAAAUCAACAAACUAGAAACAUUAAUGACAUUUGAGUUGCUAUUAUCCUAACUCUUUCGAUAUGGAAGCGUAGGGAUGCUUUGUUCAUUCCUAAAGAAAUUAUGAGGAUCAACCUUCGUCUUUAUUUCAACCAAUCUGUCGAAGUUACCUUUGAAAUACUCCACUCCAUAAACUUUUCCUUCAGCAUAACUGUUCUUGCCAUUGUGAUUAAUUCCCAAGUCAAGGUCCUUAUAAUUGUAAAAAGCCUCUCUUGGAUUCUUGGAGACAAAAGGAGUCAUAUACUUAUGAAGUACUCUUGUCAAGUUUAUAUAGUGAUCUGCUACGUCUUUCCCAGCCCGAUUCCAAUUGGCUUGGUAUUGAACCUUCCAUAGGUUCCCUGCUCGAUGAGGGAAAGGAGUCGAUGUUGAUGGAAUCUCAGCCAUUCUUCCACCAUAAGGAUUGAAUUGAAAUAGCGUAUACUCCAACUCGAUCAUCUUCUUCCAAAGUCCUUCAAAACCCUCUUUGGAAAUUGGUUUUUGUACGUAGUCAGAUUUUCUUUUCAAGUAGUUCACAGGUGAUUGUGGUUGUCUAUCAAGUAAAACCUCAACAGGUUUUGUAAUGUUGAUGUUUGUCCAAAACAGCACCGACCGAAGCCAACUUGUUUCGAUGCAGUCAGAUUGCUUCAAUCCCAACCGAGGGAACUUCUCACUCAAGAGAGAAACAAGGCUUUUGGAGUCACCGAGGAAUAGAGCUACGAAAGAAGCUCUUACAGUCUUUUUCCCAUUUUGUGUACUGUUUACAACGUCUAAUAUAAGUCUAAUGAAAAGGUCGUUGUCGAUAGUUGGUGCAACAUGCUGCCAGUUGUAAACUACAUCGGUGGCGUUUUGCUCCACGGUUCUCUCUACUCUAAAAACAGUCACCACCUCAGGAACUCGAACAAGCUUUAUUUUGUAGGCAACGACUACACCAAAGCUAGCUCCCCCACCUCCUGUGAUGGCCCAAAAGAGAUCUUCACCCAUAGAUUUUCUAUCAAGCAAUCUACCUUCAACAUCAACAAUUUGUGCAUCAACAACAUUAUCCACCGAGAGACCGUAUUUUCUCAUCAUAUUACCAUAGCCACCACCACUUAUGUGGCCUCCCACCCCAACAGUGGGACAAACCCCUGCUGGAAAACCAUGAAUUUUACUCUUCUCACCAAUUCUGUAAUAAACUUCACCAAGCGUUGCACCAGCUUGCACCCAAGCGGUCUCGUUGUCUAUAUCAACUUCAAUUGUUCGGAGAUUGAACAUGUCAAGGAUGAAGAAAGGGACCUGAGCCACGUAGGACACGCCCUCGUAGUCAUGGCCUCCACUUCGGAUUUUCAUUUGCAAGUUGUACUUCUGAGCGCAAAUGAUGGAUGCUUGUAUAUGAGAUACAUGCAAUGCAGUUAUUAUAAGAAAUGGCUUUCGGGUUGUGGAGGUGUUGAAACGAAGGUUUCUGACAUAAGCUUCCAAGACGGAGGAGAAUGAAGCGUUGUUUGGCGUGAAAAUGGCUGAAGUUAUGGGGUGAGAGGGUUCUGAAUAGUUUACAAAGCAAUGAAGAAAAGUGUUGUGAGCUGAAUUUGCAGCUGAAGCUGAUUGUGGAAUCGUAGAAAGUAACACAGCAAUGGAAAAUAGUGACAGUAGCAUUCUAGGAGGAGAAAGAGCUUCCAUUUUUUGUUAUCUGAUGGUGGUGAUAGAGUAACAAGAAAGAGAAGGUUUUGGUGUUUGUAUAUGAGCAUGAACUACAUUGGAUUUUAUAAUGAAAACCAGUGGAGGAAGAAAUCGUCAAAAACAAAUGAAAAGAUGAUUAAGGUUGCCUCCCAAGUUGACAAAAUAUUUUUCAUAUAUACGAAAUAUAUAACGUAACUCAAUCAUUCUUUGACCUUGCUAAAUAUGAUUGUGCAUAUUCUGUAAUAUCUCAUGUGAAUCAAACAUUAGGUAAGGGUUCUUUAAUUAAUUAAUUUAUUUAUCUUUACUGAAUUAAAAUGUUCUACUCUUCCUGCAGUCGACUUUUGGAAAUAAGGCGGCUAAUAUAUGUCAGUUUCACUCAUCAUUUUCGGAUAUAUUUAAACAAAAUAGCGUGUAAGCUCAAAACAUAUUUUGAUGAAGCAAAAGUAUUUGCAUGCGUUGUGUUAUUAGCAAAGAAAUAAAAAUAAUUCUUUAACAGAAAUUUUUACGUGGUUUACAUAGUGUAAUGCUAAACAUAAACGUUGUUGAUUAAAAACGGCACAAAAAUUUUGAACAGAGGUUUCCAUUAACGUAGUUUAUAUCCAAGAAGUUUCAUAUACUGCAAGCGGGCGCCACUAUGAACCACUUCCACAAACAACAAAUAAUUGGCGAUUGAAGAAAAUUUGAUUAGAGAUUGUUGGUCAGAUUUACGUCAAAAGUUGCAAACGGAGACCGAUAAGGCCGCAACAAGACUUCAUAAUGUCAUGGUAGCCAUCACUUCCAAAAGAAGAAAACUACGAGGAUAAACAAAAAGUAAUAAAAUUGUUUAUACUUUUGAUUUUUCCACAAUAUGUUCGGUAAAACACACAAACUUUUGAUGUUCUAUAUAUUAUAAUUUAAUUAUGUUUUUAAGUUAAUAUGAGAUUUCAGUACACAUCUCUCUUAUUGAGGAUUCACACGAGUUUAUUAAACAUGAAAAUAAAAAUAAAAAUAAAAAUAAAAAUAACUUGAUAAUAAAUGAUACAAUAAAGACCAGAUUAAAUUUGACUAGGAAUUCACAUUAACUUUAAUAGCAUAUUAAAGAUAGAAAAAUAUAAAAUAAUUGGUUGAAAUUAAUUUGUGAAUGUAGUAUCACUAAAAUUACGAAAAUCCUUUUUAUAAAGGCUAUAUAUUUCUAAGAUUCUACCUGGUUAAGAUUUUAUGGCUUUUGAUAGCAGACUUUAUUGUAUUUAAUUUCAGUCUAAUUAUUUUGCAACAGAAUUAUUGAUUUAAGUAUGCAUUAUCACAAAUUUUGGAUGUUAAUCACAAUUUUGGAUUUUAGGAUUCUCGAAACAUUGUUAGUGAUUUGACUUCAUCUGGGUAAGGAGUAAUAUAUGAUUCAUCUCCUCCUUUUAUUAAACAUGACAUCAUUAAAAACAUAUACGAACUUCAUGAGUUUUCACCUGGUCUUGCUUUAUGCCCUCUUUUUUAAUCUAGUUUUUUUAAUCUGCUCACAUCAUUUGAUUUAGAACAAUUAUAUAUAUAUAUAUAUAUAUAUAUAUAUAUAUAUAUAUAUAUAUAUAUAUAUAUAUAUAUAUAUAUAUAUAUAUAUUACACACUUUUCACAUCAAUGUCUCCUUUCCUAUUCUUCAACCUCUUUCAUAUUAUCUUUCUCCUUUCGUUUACCCUUAUUUUUUCUUUCUUAUCAUCUAUCUCAUCUUUAUUAAUGUCAACGUAAAAUUGUCAACAUUUACAUUUUAAAUUAUUAAACAUUCUUUUAUAUUAAUUUUGGAAUGAUUCAAUAUUUAAAUUUUCAUAAUAUAUAGAUUUUCAUUAAUGCAUGGUCAUUAGAAAGGGAUCCAUUUACAUAAAUAUUAAUUUUUCUAGUGAAACAAAUGGUGUAGAUGAGGAUUACGUGUCUCCAUUAUUUCUAUUUUGGUCCCUCAGUAUCUUAGUGAUGAUCAAAUUUAAUAUUUUUUGCUGAAAUCAGGUGGUAGAAUUUCUUAAAAUGAUUAAAUUUGGUGGUCAAAUAAGCGUUUUUUGUUUAUAUAUUAAUUUAUUACAGAAGAAAGUCAUGUUUGGAGGAGAGUUGAAUUUAGAUAUGUAUUGAAAAGUGAGUACGUAAACCUAUGUGGUGCGUGUUUGAAUUUGCCUAAGCCACCAACACAUUGAAACUGUUACUGAUUACCAAAGUUGACUUAAUUAAAACACGAUAGGGUACACAUUAAAAAGUCAAAGGUAUUUUAGUCUUUUACUUAGAGAUAGGGUACAGAUAAAAAACAUGGGAAUAUAUGUGGUUUUGGGUACCAAAAUUUUUUCAAAGGCCCAAUUUAUGUUUUAUUGAGGCCCAAGCAUUCGUGUUUUGCUAGACAGACAUACUGUGAUCAUUGAGUCUCUUAGAUGAGUACUUCUUCCUACACCUCCCUUCUUUCUUCCUCUCUACACUUCCCUUCUUUCUUCUUAUAUUUUUAUAAUUACAAAUAUAACCUUAUAUUUUUAAUAAAAGAAAUUAAUAAAAAAAUUAUAUUUGUAAUUUUGAAGGUGUAGAAAAAAAGAAUGGACAUACAAGUACAAACAUUCCUCUCAGUUAAUGUAUGUACUUUUCAAAGUCACUUUUUUAUUUUUAAAACAGGUUUCAAAAAAGAAGGCUGUGCAGUCACGUUGUAAAAAAUAUUUUGAAAUAUAAAAAAUGGCAAUAACAUCGUGAAAAGAAUUGAAAAAUAACGCAUUUUCUCAGUUUAACUCACUGAUUUUAUCGGUCAAUGGUGGAUAAUUCGACCGUAUGUCUAAACAAUUGAAUAAUGUUGAUUUUGGUUAUAAAAAAUACCCGUCUGGUUAAAGAAGUUGUUUCGUAGAAUUUAUGAAUUAAAAAAUAAUCACGUCACAACGAUUUUUAUUAAUAAAAAUAUUAAAACAAGAUAUUUAAUUAUAAUAUAAAUUAUAUGGUUUAACAUAAAAAAAUAUGGUGGAGUAAAAAUUCCGAGGGGUAUCCAUAAAUCGUCAAACAAAACUGUCAAAAAUUAAGACUGAUAUAUAUAUAUAUAGAUUGUGUGUUUUGGUAUAUAACAGAUUACUUAAACUAGGAAAACUAAGUGUAAAUUAGGAUAUCAAUAAAAUUAAAAAAUGCAUAAGCUAAAAACUGAAGUGGAAACACUCUUAACAUUUACAUCAAACUAUUAAAUACAUUAUUGGCACAGAAAAAAUUAAUGAACUUUGAAUCAAUUUCACUCUGCAGGAAAAAAAUGAUAUAUAAACCAAUGAAUAACAAUGAAAGAAUGACUCAGGAUUCUUCAGUCUCUCUGACACACUAUCUCAGAAGGAGCUCUUGGUGGCCUUGUAACGGUACAGCACCUUCUUCUUCUUGUUUGUGUUGUUCUCUAUAGUGAGGACAACUUUCCCUGCUUCAUUGUUCCUAAAACUGUUCCUAACAGGCCCUUCUUGUGACCCCAUUUUCUUUCCUUUUUGAACAAUAACUGUGUAAGAACCCUCAUCACUCGGAACAAAUUCCUCCUUGUAACUCACCUCCCAACCCAGAACAGUCAAAUCCCAGCACACACUCUUUCCAACCUGUUUAGAUGCAACCACCCUUUAGUCCACUAAAUGAAAAAUAAUCAUAAAUUUUUAUAAACUUCCUUAUGUGCUUUGUUAUUUGGCAUUGUUUUCUGAUCAUAAAGUUUACUUUAAAACUUCAAUAACUCACAUUUGUAAAAGUUUACUUCAAACCUCAAUUCUGAUUAUUAACCAAAAGCAAAACAACUAUGUGAAAUUGUAUUAAUGAUCUGUCCUUAAGUUAGUACCUCUAAUGCAGGAAUCUCAACGGUUGCAGUUGAUCCAGCCUUGAGAAUGAGUUCUGAGACAGCACCAUCUUGGGAAGAGAACUCAGCAUCAUUUUCCCUCUUGAAACCACCGUAUUGAACUGGGAUCUCCUCAAUUGGAAUGUACCUUUUGAGUACAAAGAAAUUAAGAUCAUUAAAGGGAUGCUGAUGAAACAUGCAAAUAAUUUAAUGGAUGAGAUAGGAACAUACUUGGUCAAUGUUUCAGUGACCUUGUUAGGACGAGCCACCACAAUUUUGCUCUUUGUUCUUUGGGUUAAGAAAGGAGAUAAAAGGGCGUUGAGAGCAUAAUACCAGAAAGGAACGUUGAUGAAAAUCUACAAUGAAACAAAAUCACAUUCAUAAUCAAAUACCUUAAACAUCAAAAUAACAGCUUAUUGUGAGGAUUGUAGCAAAAAAGACAGCUAAAGAAAAGGCCAAAGAACUUACAUUUUUUGCGACCAUUUCAGGAUAAUUGUCUUGCAAUAUUGCAACAGUUUGCUUUGUGGCAACUCUAAGCUCCUUAUUUGAAAUACCGGGGGAGUUCUUAAGGUCGUUGAUUUGAAGCAAGGAAGACACGCCACCCGGCUUCAAAUUGAGCUUCUGAAUACCCUUCUCCAUCAUCUGGCACCUCCAUCUCAAGAACUCGCUGCGCUUCUCCUCAGUGCCAAAAGUCUUCUGAUAAAGCUCCUCACUUUCAAAUGCACCAAAUAUGUUGUAGCACACAGGGUGCCCUUCAUGAUCAAAUCCACUCAUGUAAGCUGCAGAGGCCAAGUCUGAGGCAAAUUCCUCAUCCACCAAAGAAUCAAUAUUUGAUUCCUUCCUCCACUUAAGGGUCUUCUUCAGCAUCUCAAACGCAUCACUGACUCUGAACUCCCUGGCCCUCAAAAACUUCAACAGAACCACAUCAAUGCCUUCCGCUCCCUUGCUUGGCAAAAGGGGCACUCCCCAAAGACACUCAUCCUUCUCCUCAACCUCCACAUUUUUCCCCUCCUCCAUCUCUUCAGCUUCAUUCUUCUCUUCUGCCUCGUUCUCAGCAGAAGCCUCCUUCUUUGGCUCUUCUUUCUCAAAAAGAGUGCCUCCCAUGAUAGCUUCCUCAAGCUUUGACUUGAAUUCAAUCAAAGCCUUCCUUUCCAACUCUUUGAGAUCAGAAAGGAAGUUGCUUUCUUCCUUGUAAGAAGAGCUUUUCUCCACCGUUUUGGGGUUCUUUUCAUCCAAAGAUGAUUCCUUUGGUUCCACAUUUUCUCCAGCAACCUUCUCCUCUUUCUGGGGCUCAGCAACAGAAACAACCUCAGCUGUCUGGGUCUCCUCUUGAGCCAUAACCUCAGCAGUCAUGAUUACAAUUGGAACAAAAAGAAAACUUGAGAAGACCCAGAUACUUGAAAAGGGUAAAUGAAAGAUCUAGUAUUAAGAAAACAAACACACACCUAGGUUUAUGAAGCAGAAUAUAGAAACCAAAAAAUGGUUUGUGAAUGUGUGUGCUAUGUUUAUGGUGGUGAGAGAGGUGUGAGGGUAAUAUAUAGUAAUUUGAAAGGUUGGAAAAAGGGUUUAUGGCAGCAACGGUCACAUAAUGGAUCCAACACAGAGGAGCCGUUAGGGAUUUUCCUUUUCCCGAGAGUUAUGCUGCUCUGGCAUCCAGCACAUUCAGGCGUGAUACCAUCACAAUCAUACUCUUUCUUUAUUGCUUUUUGUCCUUUCUUUUUUCUUUUCUUCCUCAAACAUCAAAUGUUUUCAUAUCAUUAAUUAAACAUGAUUAGUUUUAAACAAAUUUAUUAAAGUAUUAUAAAGAUCAAUGAUCUUUUAAUAUACAUAUAUUACAAUAGUAUAAUCCAAUAUUAGUUGAUGUUAUACUAAUAUUUCUCUAUAGGAUUUGCCCUGUAAUAUUGCUUUAAAUAAUUAAGAUAAUGUAAUGUAUAAGUAGUAUGCACCGAAACAUAUUUACUAAUUAGGUUAAUGGGGUGUUUUUGUUUAACAAAUUUUAAAACUUUCUAAUGGUUUUGAUCGUGACUGCAACAAAAUCCAUUCCAUCUCUUUAAUAGUCGUGCUUUCAUGCUUUGUUUCAUUCUUGCAAGUUUAUUACGCACCAAAAGUCAAGAAUUUAAUUUGAAAAAAAAAAAUAUUGAAUAAUUUAAAUACAACAACAAAAAAAUCAUCAACUUGUUUUUGUAAUAUUCAAAGAUAAGUUUCUUCGAGUUAUUUCAAAAAGAAAAAUUAUCAUUUAAAGUCUCUUAAUGUAAAAUAUCUGUAGCAUAGUACUACUCUAUAAUAUAUAGUCGCUUCUUUUUAAUGUUAAUUUAUAUACACAUAUCCAUACAUACUUACAAAACAUGUAUUUUGGCGUAUUUUUCAUGGAAAUAAAAAACUAGUUAGAGUAUAUUAUAAACUGUAAAUUCACUGGCAAUGUCAGGAUUUUAAAUUUUGAGGGCAAAAUGGAGAAGAAAAAGAAGUUUAUGUCGUAUUUCCACAUGUACCAAGAAUAGAGUUCCAUUGAAUAAUGUUGAAAUGUGGAUUACCAAAAAAUUAUUAGGUAGUUUGUUUGACUCGGUCUAACGACAUCACAAAACAUGUGAAAGAUUUGGCAUCAAUGUCACCAUUUUAUUUAUUAAUUUAAGAAAAGAACAUUUUAAAAUUUCAUUCUGAAUUAUUUUAUCCCAUUUAUCAAAUUCCAGUUUGGAAUCAUUCAUCCAUGUUAGUUUUGGGAAAUAGUCAACCAUAGAAGCUGGAAGGACUUGUUCUUUUCUUUCUUUCUUCUCUCUCUUUGGUUUAAAUUAGAAAACAAAAGAUUAGAUUGUGUAUUUGUGUUCAGAAUCUUUGAAAAAAUAUGUCAAAUAUUCGUCUAGACAUCAAUUAAAUGUUCAGUCUGGCCUGUGGGAUUUGGACAGUUGUUAAUAUGUUAAAAAAAUUGAUACAUAAAAUUUAAUUAAUUUCAAUUUUGGAAAUUUUUUCUACCAAAAUUGUUAGUAAAAAGCUUGUCCAAACAUUACCUACCAUCAUAUUAUAUAGAAGAAGGACUAAAGCAAAUAACACUUUAUAACUAAAGAAUUAAAAUGAGUGUCCGGCUGAAUAUACAAGGAUUAAAAUGCAGAACUUCAAAAUUAAAGUAGGAUUUAACCGUAACAAGUAUAAGAGGGCAACUAAGGAUACAAAUAAUGAAAGCCAAAUCAAUGAUAUUAUACUAUCAAUUUUCACAAACCAUGUUAAGAUUGAAUCCAACACUGUUGAUCUUAACUUGGCACCCCAAUGUGUUUUAGACAAGAUCCUAGUAUCAGUUGUUAACUUCGUUUGUUGUCGACCACUGUACAAGACUACUGAAAAAUGAUUUGUCUCAAUGCUAUUUCUUUCUAUCAGUUGGUCUCUUGCUAUCUGUUGCUGUGUAUUCACCAGUUACCCUGCCAUUUCCCAAAGAAAAUGAGUUAACCAUGAAGACUAAAGUUUAUGCAAAACAGGAGAAAAUUGUUUGCACCCCUCAAUUCCAGCACAAGUCAAUGAAGAAGUCAGUGACUUUUCUGUAGCCAUUUGCAGAUUAGAAAGAAGACAUCAAGAUAAGUUUCAUCAUAAUCCUUGAUCAUCUACUCCAGUGUAAGGAAACUAGCAUUUUAGCACAAUAGUCAAGGCAAAAAUAUAUUUACCUAUUAUACAUCAAUAUGGCUUCACCUAUUGUCCCUGCCACCUUGUUACGUACCUUUCGAACACAAACCUGAGACAAACCCAAUUCAGUGUCUUUUACUCAGUAAGAUACCAAAGUAAGUACAAUGUGCUGCAAUCACUCACCUGUACUUGAUCCACAGGUCCAGCUUCAGGAUCCCGAUUUCGGUGAAUAACAAUUCCAUUGUCACACUUAUUUAUGAAGUGUGCACUUCCACUUAUAUCAUAGAGAGUAGGAGGACCCCCAACCCAAUUUUGCAGCUAUGAAAUGAGAAGAAAGAAUAUCAGAAAGAGUAAAAUGACAACAACAGAUGAAACCAAAGCUGUUUGUUACCAACCUGCCUAGGAUGUGCUACAAACCAAACAUGGCAUCCAUGAUGUUGUGCAAAGCGUUUGACUAAGGUAAGCAUCUGACUCACAUAUUCUGUUUCGGUCCUGCAAGUUUUUGCAACAACUAGAUUAAUCUCAAUUAGUCAUCCUCCAUUAUCUAGUCAACAAUAAAGGCAGCUUGGCAACAGAGAAUGAUUUGUAACACAGCGUGUUCUUGGAGAGAGAUUUAUUUAUAAUGUAUUAUCCUUUACUUUGAUUAUAAAUAACAUUCACGUCUCUGUAAUUUCUCUUGUACUUGUCUAAUACAUAUUCAUAUGAAAGGAAUCUCCAGCAAGCCCCAACAUUCUAAAGAGUUCUAAUACAACUCAGAAAAUCCAAAUUUAGAAUAAGUUCUUUGAAGAGAAUUACUGGUUUGGAGGUCUCUGAUGAUCAAGCUCGUUAUAGGGAUCAAUUACAAGUCCUCGCACCCCAUGCCUUAAUACAGCAGCUUUUGCAAGGUCAAGGACCCAUCUUAUAUUUGGAAGAGCGUCAUCUUCACACCUAGUAUCAACAACCAUGUAGCCAAGCACUAGAUUUCAUCAGUUUAAGAAAUAUGGGUAGUAUUAGACGGCAGUCUAUUCAACAAUCACUACUAAAGCAAGAGAUUUUGACAAUAAUUCAAAUACACAACCAAGAUCGAAAGGUUCAUGUUAGGAUCCUCCGUCAUUCAGUUCUACGUAAAACAUUUCCAAUAAAUUAAGGAGACCUGAAAAUUUAUACAUCACCAUUGGUACCUAACCAGGCUCAAAAUCUCAGACUGAUCAUUUUAUAUGGCCACCAAUCACAGGCAUAUAUUGACCCACUAUAUAGCCGCACCUCCCGAAUACCCAACAUCAAGAGAACAAAUAUAAAUUGGAAAAUACUAACCAGUAUCUUAAGGAAACAAGUUAAGGAAUUAAAAAGAGAUUUUUUUUUAUUAUGAUUAAAAAAAUGCACUCCCCUACUAUUGUUUUAAUGCGCUAUCAUAUAAUUUGCAAUCAAGAACUGUUCUAACAAAUGAGCCAAAUGCACUAAAGAAGUUGCUACUGUCUGCUUCAAUAUUUAUUUAGAAAGAUUUAACCCUUCCUAUUUUAAGUAAAUAAAAAUCAACUGCACCACUAAUCAUAGCAUGCAUCAUCACGUUUCAAUCACAGAAAACUGUAAAGGAAACUGGUAAACUAAAUCAGCUUACCAAAUGGAUAAAAGAUAACAGCAGUCAAGCCAAAAAUGUGAGGAUGAUUGUACAAAUGAUUGAAUGUGGCAUGCCAUAAGUUACAACUACCAGCUGAGAUUCUUGUAAUGGACUUACCUUAUGAGAGAAAAAGUAUCGCUCAACCAAAGCUUGCCCCGUUCAAACUCCUNCACNCUNAUUCNNUCNANNUUUUCACCAUAACUAACAUUAGAUAAACAAGUCAAUCAACAUAAUAAAAUAUAUAUGCAUAAUAACAAUCACAAUUAUUGAAAAUUAAUGAACAUUAUCAUCCAAUAGACCAAUAUAAGGGUCUGCUUACAAUGAAAGUAAAAUUGCAAUAUUAUAAAGCAAAAUGCAGAGGAUAAAGAAUUAUAAAACCUUAAUGAUAAAAGUAAUAUUGAUUCCAGUAGUAUAAUAAAAUGGUGUAACACCAAAUCGAAAACCGAAUUAAUAUACUCACAAAUGGAAAAGUCCCAAGAUAUUAUUGGACCACGGUAAUAAAUGCCAAUUCAAAGGCAUAGAGUACUAUAUCAUCCAUAAUUCUAAUAACUGGUAGUAUAAAAGUUUCAAUUCCAUAUCCCACGCAUGUCUCAUGCCUUCACAUGAUCUCAACACAUACAAGCAAGAUAGAACUAAUUAAUAUGCUAUCUGGUAUAAAGUAAUGUAAGCCAUAGUAUUUCUAAUAGAGAGAAAAGAGUGAAAUAUGAAUCAUUAAUGUGAUACAGAUAAGAAAAAAAUUGAAAAUUAUUAUAAAUCCAGCACAUAUCACAACAGAGGAUGUGGGAAAACAACACCAUAAGUUAUUAUUUGAUCUGGAAAUAAACACUAAUUAAUGUUGGAGGAUUGGAGGUGUAGAUCACAUGGUUUUUAGCUUUGUAAAAAGUCGUAAAGGGAGACUAAUGACAUUGGAAAAAAUUAAUGAAAGGAAGCUCAUGGUUAAUAAUAUUCUUGAGAAUUAACUUUUAAUUGAGCCUAACAAUGUCACGUAAUCCUGUACCUAAACUCACAUGGUGGAAUAUGGUCAAUUUUGUAGUAAUAAUAAAGAAAUAAUCAACACGGCACCAAUAGUACAUAGAUCAUAAGUAAUAUGCAAGGCUCACCGUAGAUUAAAGAAUGGCUUCUUCAAGUGUUUCUCCAAAAGUUUUCGAGCAUGUUCUCUGACCUAUAGGAUAGUAAAAAAAAAGUCAGAAAAAUGAACAAACUUCUGACUGGAAUGUAAGAGGCGACUAAUUAAAAAUAGAGAUACCGUUGACAUAGUAAUUUGGUAUAACCACAUACAUAACGGAAGUAUAAGAGAAAUGACAGAUAUUAUAACACAUGGCCAACCCCACCAGGAACUUCAGCAAAACAAAUCAAUAAAGAUUACUAAGAACAGACACUCAACACUGAAUCUGAAAUCCUUACGCAACCACCACUCACUUUUGAGGAUAUUGUGGGAUGACCAGGCUACGGAACUAACAAGAAAAGAGGUACAUCAAUUCAAUUCAUCCUCCAAAUAAAAAAGUACUUUUAAAUAAGAAAAAUGCAGUUGUAAGAGCUUUCUAAUCUGUCCACAUAUCUUGCGUAUAGAGCACUCCUAAAAGUGAUCUACUGCAGACAUUUGAGCUUGAGAUGCGAACAGGGAACCACCUUACCCUAUACUGUCUCCUUUUUAGGAAAAAGUGCAACAUGCACCCUGGAAUUAUCCACCUGGUGUCCACCUAGAUACUUGGUUAAGUACAUGUGUAAAUAUGACCAAUUUUACUUCACAGGUGGUUAAGACACAAGCGUAAAUGAAUGAUUGUAAUUAUCAAAAUUGCUUAUUGAAAUGUCAAAUAGUGGUUAACUUUAUCUCACAAGUGAUUAAUAAUAUCUUGAGACUAUUAAUUGUCUCAGUGGUUAAUUACAUAUAUAAAUAUGGUUAACUACCUGUAACAACUGGUUAAGAGUAAAUGAACAUGAUUGCAUACAAUUAUUACUAUAUGGUUAAUGGUGCCAAAAGGUUAUUAAAAUGUCUAAUAGUGGUUUACUUUGCCUGACAAGUGACUAAAUAAUGUCAUGCGAAUUAAAAUGUCUAAUAGUAGUUCACCAUCUAUGCUGCAAAGUUAACCACGCAUUCAGGGUGGACGUUGGGUGUAUGUCAACCACUAUUUUUUUCAAGGUCAAAGAUUGUAGGUGGCACUUAACAUACACAUGAAAAAUAAGCUUUGGUAAGGAACCACUGGAUAAAUUUUCACAAGAAACAUGCACUAGAAACUAUUGUGGUUUUGCCUCCAACCAUUGUGUACUAGGUUAUACUUCUACUCUGAAGGAUUAUGUUUUCCCAAACAAUUUCAUAGUUCAUAUGAAGCUUUUGACAAAACUCCCAAGCCUCAGAAAUUUAAUCAAUAGAGCCAACCCCACCAAAUGGAGAAGAGCUUUCAUUUUAGUUGAUGUAAAGAAAUAUAUUGUUGAUUAGAGACAAAUAGAAUAGCUUUAUUUUAUUCACUCAAUAAUGUUUAUGCAAUAUUGAGCAUCCAGAACCAGUUAAGUAAACCAACGGUUUAUGAAACACAUUCAAUUCCCUAGCAUUCCAACAAAUAUCUUCCUUACAUGCAACAAAUAAAGUAAAACACGAGGGAGAAAGAGAAAUAAUUCAUUUACUUUUCUUCUCUGAGAAAAAGAUCUCAAGCAGAAACCAACCACAAUGAAAGUACAUGAGUAGGCGCAGGUAUCAUCAUAUUACCACAUAGAAAGUCACUAAUAAACAAUCUAAUAAACAAUAGAAAGUCACUAAUAAACAAUCUAACCUUGUUCUCCAUGGAACAAAGUGCAAAUUUCCAGCCAGCCAAUUCAUUAAGAUUGCAGAGAAGAGCAUCAAUCCACUCACUCUUCCCAGAGUUAGGAACUCCAGUUACUAUGGUCAGUUCUCCUGGUACAACCUGAUAAAAAUUAAUAGAUAAUAUCAGGAUCUCUACGUCCACAAGAAAAAAUGUUUAAUUAUUACUAUAUGCCGAAUAUUGUACUUUGGUUACAAAAAGCAUUUGAUGAAACAUGUUAGAGCAGCUUAUAUUAUGUUCUAAACAACUCUUUAAUAGCUGCUUUUGUUCUACAUAUGCGUCAUCUAGAGUCUGAGACUAGGGGUGACUCCUUAUGUUGUUUUUGACACAUUAUUAUUAUCUGUAAUUAAAUGCAUAAAGUAAAUAAAGAAAAAACAAAUAUAUAAAAAAAUGUUAAUCGCAUUAGGAAAAAUAUAGCAAUAACGGUCCCCUUACAUUGUACAAGUCAUUCAGAUUAUUCCACCCAGUUGAGAUACCAAUAUCAUAUCCUAAGGUUCGAUGAUAGUAUGCAUCAAUCUCGUCAAAGUAAUCUCUGAAGUUAAACAAUCCACGUAUUGGAUAUAAUUCUGCUUUCUCAAUCACUUCCUUGAGUGCAUCAGGGCCCAAAUACAUGAGAACCUGUGAAUAUGUCAUAAGGUUGCUACAGUUAUCAAAGAGCAGAAUUACAUACAAACAACUUCAAAUGACUCUUCAUGACAAGUGACAUACACAAACCAGACAAGUGGGGAAAUUAUGUUGGUGUUCAGAAACAUUUAAUAAGAAGGAAAUACUCCCUUACGUUUCAGAAAGCUUUCCCUGAAAAAAAUCAUUUCUUUAAAAUAAGCUAAUCCAAACAUGCAUGUUAAAAGAACGAUGCACACUAGACAGCAUGAAUAGCAUACACCAGAUAGAAAAACGUAUAAAUAUAACCUAAAUGGGUCUGCGAAUCCAACUAGUGGGAAAAAGUUACAGAAGCAUUAUUUGUUUUCAAUAUUUAGAGAUUUAAUCUUUUAGGUGAGGAUGAGAGGAAGGAUGCAGGUGAAGGGGAACUUGAACAUGCAAAUUGAUAUCUGACCUCAUUCGCAUCUUUGCAAUUGUCUAAUCUCCCUUUUUUAGGCCACCUGACUCGCCAGCAUCUACAACCAUUGAACAGAGAAAGGUUACAGAAAAUGUGACACAAGCAUGAAAAGAGGAAAAUAAUAUGAAUAAACUAACUAUAUAGAACAGUAAAUACAGCCAUUCGGUCUUGUCUAAUCAUGAAAGUUUUGAAACAAAAGCAACAUCAACAUAGCAAAAAAGGUUUACAGAGACACCAUUUAUCUUAAAAAGCAAUUCUUUAGAACAAAAUACGGAAAAGCAACUCAAAAAUAGCUGAUCUAUACAGUUUAGCACUUCUUACUUCAAAAUUAAACACCAUAUACAAUGAAUACAUGGAACAUUUAAACUAAAAUGAAACAAGUGCCAAAAUAUUGUUAUCCUCCUUUAAUUGAAAUAAUAACUUCUUUAUAUUUUCUCAAAUAUAUCAAUGAUUAUGGUAAUUUAUAUAUGUAAUAGAAGCAAGACCAAAAAAAUUCUAACUUCUCUUUCCCAAUGCGGCGUGCAAGCUCCUCAGCCAAAGCUUGACCAGGUGGAUCCCCAUCAGUGGCAAGUAUAACCCGGGUUGCCUAUCAAUAUAAAUAUUGACAAAACAAAUAAAGCUUAAGGAAAUGAUAUAUUUCAGCAAAUUCAGAAAAAAAAUAUAUAUAUAUAACAAACCUUCUUUAGUUCAUCUUUAGAGUUCCAAAGAUACUGAUACUUUUUGUCCUAGCUUUACAGAAUUAGACAUAUGACAAGAGCAUUAGAUUCUAACAUUACACAUGCUAGCACGGUAAAAAUGGCAACAGAGAAGAAAUUGAAAAGUUACAAACAUGCGCACACAUAAUAAUAUGAUAUCUUGAGAAUUAAAAAAGGACCUGUUCUUGAGGAGGCAAGUCAUUUGAGGACACUGAUGGAGGUGCCCCAUCAGGAACACUGACACAGUUCAAGAAGCCAGCUUCUUCCAUUGCCAGCUUGUCCAUUUCACCUUCAACCUAUAUUGUUAAACCAAUAUGCUAAGCAUAAAGCGAAACUUAAACUUUCCAAAAUUUCUACAGAGAGAAGAAUACAUACAAUGAUUAUAUCACUUUGUCCUACUAUGUCGUCCAAUCCAUAAAAGAUCUUUUCAGUGUUUGCUUCCUGAAAUAAAAGGAUAAUUAGAGGAAACUGGAAAUAAGUAAUGUCAUAAAAUCAGAUAAAUAAAUAUGACAUCAAAAUAAAAUUUGACAACUGACAAAAAAAACAUGUUGGAUUUAAGAUAACAUGAAAAAAAAAAAAUCUUCCAGCAUAAUCCAAUUAUAAGCUUCCAGGUUUUCAGCUCCUAGCUUAUAAGCUUCAGCUAGGUUAUAAGCUAGUUUUACCAAAACAUUCUCUAUACAUAAAUUGAGAUUGCAAAGGUUACUUGUGUAUAUUCUUUUCUUUAUUUUUAUGCUAUUUGGGUAUGCUGCAAACAAUAGAUGUAACAAAGGGACCUAGUUGGGAUCAUAUGUUAUAUUGUGAUGCUUUUGCAUACUCUACCAUUAAAAAAAUUGCAAGGCUGUAAGAGUAGGAGCUCAGAGCACGUGUCCAUAAGUAAAAGGCACCAACACUAUUAAUCUAAAAACAAUACUUACAUGUUGACAUUGCUAGUGGGAUAUAUUUUAUUUAAUUAUGCUCACCAAAAUAUGACAGAUGCCUUCACUGCUAUUUCAACUUUUAAUACUAAUUAAUUCUCAGCUUAUCAAUUUUCCCACUCAAUCUAAAUAUGUACAGCAUACCUGCCAAAACACCUUGUUGACAUCUCGAUACUUGCAACUAAUAAGUGAUCCAUUUCGAAGAUAUGUGAAAGCAAUCACAAUCUACCAUACAAAAGUUACAAAAACAAUCAGUAACAGGUAAAUCACUUUUAAAGCAAAAGUGUGAAAAUAGAACACUAAAAAAAAGUAAAUGUUUAUUAUAUACUACCCUUGGAAAUAAUUGAACUUUGAAGGUAUGACUUUGUUAAGUGAAAAUCAAUUGCAAUCCUUGCCUAAUUAAUCGUUGUGUAAAACAUUAAGUACAAAACUUUCAUUUUUAAGACUGCCUUUAUAAUCGGCUAAUAGUAGGUGUAACUAGCAUAAAUCAUAUCAAAUUAAAGUUACCAUAUAUACACCAAGAGGCAUUUUCUGGUUAAUAAAAUCGUAACCAACCUAAGAUGUUCACUCCAGGAUCUUUCUAACAAUCUAAGAUAUCAAACAAUCAUAAGGAUUGUUAAUGUAGAGGAACUAUCAACGCAUUGAAGAUACAUAUUCACAAUUUAGUGGUCAAUUGCACCUGAUCUGCAUAUCUUCUCUGCUUAACAGCAUUUCUCUCCAGAGUCUCUUUCGAAAUCAAGCGCUCUGAAAAAUAAGCAAGCAGCUGAAACAGGGCAAACAAAGUCACAUUCACCACAUUGACUGGAAAUGAACAAAAAAAUCAUCAUCAGCACAAUUGAAAAACUAUCUAACUAGCAUAAAGCAAACAAAUGAAAAUAAACAAAGACUUUGAUUCUAAUUUCCAAAGGCUUGUUUGUAUUUUUGUUUAUCGUGAGCAACAACACACCACUCUGUAUUUGUUACUUUCAAUAAAUACACGUUUAGCUCUAUGCAUAUCCAGAAUAAAUAAAUCACUUAAUGCAGAGAUGAGAAAAAUCAGAGGAAACAAUGGCUCUGCUGCCAAGACAUACAGAAUAAAUUUAUUGAGUGCAGAGUAGGAGUGUACAAGCAAAGCCGGUUAAACAUUAGCAUUUAAUUUUAAUUGCUUGCCAAAACUCAAUACAGCUAGAGGAUCUAUUUGCAUGCAAAAGAAAGAAGACAUUAUAAGCGCCCUUUUAAUAGAGAGAUUGGUAGAAAUGAUCUUGAUAGUAUUGAUUUUGAACUAGUUAAUGUUAUUGGGAGGGUUGUCAAACUAUCUUAACAGAAAAUCUAACAUCGGAUUGUGUAUCACUGUAAAAUUCAAUUAAGUUGGUAAACAAACACUUACCCAAACAUUCACCAAAGUAAUGGAGGACAGGAGUUUGUCAUGAGCACUAUCUGCCCCUCUGUUAUAGCAUAUCCAAAAUUCAUAAAGUGCAGGACAAAAUUAGGUAAGGUAGAAUUUAAUUACCUCAUCACAAAGUGGUUCAAGCUGUAAUUCCUCCUCCGUAAUUUCUCUUUUCUUUUUAACCGGGGUUACUAUACUUGCUGCAGAUCUCCUUCCAGCAAAAGCCUACAGCAGAAGGUAGAAAAUGAACCAAAUACCACAUCUGCCUGUGUUAAUCUGACCCGCUUGAAAAUGAAAAAUAAAAAAUGUAACCUGUGUGCUGCCUUUCCAACCACACUUUCCUCGAAAACACACCCAUGCAGCAGAUCCCCUAAAACUCAAAAAAAAAAAAAAAAAUUGAAACAAAGUAUGUAUACAAUCUGUUGAAAAAAAAAAAAAAGAGAAAAGUUUACAAAAAAAAAAUGAUAAAUCCCAUACCAAUCUGGUGCAAUGUAAAGAGAUAGGCUGCUUUCUGAUUGAUCGCCACCUUGGCACUAACAAAAGAAAUAUUAAAUGACACACACAUGCAAGACUUAAUACAUUAAACUGUCAAAUCCUAUUGGGACGUAUAAAUGGGAUUCGUGUAAAGAGAAUGAAUGAACUAUUCUCACUGCAAUGUCCCGGUAUCCCAGAUAAAAGUACAUAAUCAACACUCCUCAAUUCACUAUUUUUUAGCACGCUCAUUUGUAACACUGUUAUUGCCUCCUUCAACUGAAACUAAAGCUGUCCCUUCAAAUAUAAUCAUCUUAAGCCAAACGAAGAACAAAAUAUUUGCACAACUUCACACCUCAAACAUACAUGAUUAAUAACAAAGACCCAAAUUUUCAUGUAUAAAGUGAAACAGCAAUUUGAGGACAAUGUCUAAAAAAACUGAAAAACAUUCCAAAGGGCAAUGUCAUAUUUAAAAAAACUUCUGUUCAACUUUGAAGAAAAGUAGGAGAUACCUUUGGACAGAUCAAGUGAUUCUUCUGCCCCGGCACACAUAUUCCAGUUUCCAUCCCAACAGCCUCCAACUUCUUCCUCAAAAUAUUGAACUGCAACUCCACACUCUUUGCCUCGGAGUUCGCCAAUUGAACUUCAGAAAACCAAUCCAAAAACACAAAAAGUUAGCAACUUGAAACACAUUUAAGGCUGACCUGUCCCCCACGGAAAAGGGCACCUCACCCGGUCUAGGGAUACUGGCAUGAGAGACAUCAAUGUAGCCGUUUGUUCUGAGAGGCGAUGAAGAGUUCCUUGAAGUGGGUUUGGAACAGAAGACGGUGAAGAAGGGUCUAUGAGGAAGAAAACGGUGUCUUUGACAGAAAGGAGUGUUUUUGAGGGUUGGGAAUGGAGAAGAAUGGAAGAGGGUUUGAGGGGUCAUGGUAGAGAGUUUUGAAGAAAAAAAGAAGGGACGUAGAGUGUAGGGAUAACGAAGGCGCAUGUUUCUUAUUCCCUUGAUGCAGAGAAUCUUGGUUUUGGGUGUUUCUCUAAGAGGGUUCCAUGUGUGUGCCAAAGAGAGAGUAGAAAUGGGAAGGAGGGUUUUGGUUUUAAGGCUUCCAAGAUUUUUGAAGUCUAAAGAACAGAGUGCCCAUCAAAUCAUUGGUGUUGAGUUUUACACUUAAUAAUUUUAUUUCAUUUUUUUUUAUACUGUAAGAGUAUGAGUAUUUGAUUUAUUUAAACAUUUUAUAUUAUUUCAUAAUUAGUUAUUGCUUAUUUAUAGUAAUGUUUUAACGAAGGGAGAUUCUUAUCAUACUGACUUAGAAAGAACAACAAACACAUUUAAAUAUUAAUGUAGUUUUCAGUUAGUAUUAUCCUGUAAUUAACUAGAAAUUAUAUUGUUUUUGAAAUGUUAUUUUAGAAGGUUUUAUCACAAAUAAUAUAUUUUUAAGAUUCUAUUUGAUUUUAUUGUUUUUUUUUAGUAAUGUUUGAUGAUUUCACUUUUAACCUACUGUAUUACAUACAAAAUUAUAUCAAAUAAAUAAAAUUCAUUUUAUAUAAUCUUGAAAACAAUAAUUUUGGCGAUAAUUUUCAUAAUUAUAUCAUAUUUCAUAAUUAUGUAGGGCUGUGAUAAAUUAAAUUUAUGUGAUAAUUUGCCUAUAUUUGCAAAACUUUAUCGAGAUUUAGUUUUUCUUAAUGUUAUAAUAUUUAGUUUUUUUUUUCACGAUUACAUCAAUAUACUAGAAACGACUGAGAGAAAAAUUUCAAAUAAAAGUCCACUGAUAUUUUUAUUUGUGUAUUGCAACAAAUGAUUUUGCUUGUAUAUAAUUAUAGUUUAUAAUUGGUAAGUAUUUUUUAAAUUCAUAAUCUAUAACUAUAUACAUCCAUAAUUAUCGAUAAUUAUAUAUAAAGAAAUGUACUUAUUAAUGUUCUUCUUAAUCAUCAUUUUUUAAAUUUAAAUGAUUAUUCAUAAUAAAAAGUAGUUUUAAAAUUUAUCGUUUUAUUAAGAACUUUUUUAAAUUCAAAUAAUUACUCAUUUUAAAAGAAUCUUUUUUAUCAUUAUAAUUAAUUUUUUAAAUUUAAAUAAUUAUUCAUAAUAGAAAAAUUGUUUUCAUAAUUAAUUAUAAUAUUUUUUAUUUUAAUAACUAAAAUUUAUUUUAUAUAUAACUAUAGGCACCUUUUGUUUUUUUAGUUUAUCCUUUUAAUUACUUUCUUUUUAAAAUUUAAAUAAUUUCUAUAAUUAUGUAUAAAGAGCUUAUACCUGUCUUUUUUUUUCUAGUUUUAUCCUUCUGAUUACUACUUUUUAAAUUUAAAUAAUUAUUCGUAAUAAAAAAAAUAUUUUUCAAUUUUAUCAUUUUAAUAACUAUUUUUUAAAUUUAAAUAAUUACUCAUUAUAAAAAAAUUAUUUACUUUUAUUAUUAUAAUUAUUUUUUCAAUUUUAAGUAAUUACUUAUAAUAAUAAAAUAUAUUCACACGAUACUACUUAUAAUAUUUUUUAUUUCAAUAAGUAAAAUUUAUUUUAUUUGUAAUUAUAUUUAUAACAAUAUACACUUUUUAUUGUUUCGAUUUUAUUUUUUUAAUUAUCUGUUUGCUGAUUACAUUAUGACUAAAAAUCACUAACCUCUGCCUAUGCUGUGUUAAAACAUAGUUUAUUAUAAUUUGUAAGAAAUUUAGAGUUUUGGAUCAAUUUUAUUUUUAAUUAUACUUAAAAAAAUAUCAAAUAUAUUUCUACGCUAUUUGAUCGAAACUAAAAAGUAGUUGGGAUAUUUCAACAAAAAUCAAAACACAUGCUUUAAUAUAUUAUAAUAAAAUUGGAAAACGAUGAAUCUAAUGGUAGAUUAUAAUGAUUCACCAUACAUCGUUUUGUAUCAAAGUGUUCUUAAAUACUAGUCCUCUUAAAGAGAUAAUAAAAGGUAUGUGUAAAAUUUCAAAUGUUAACACAAACCUUUGUUUACACUUUAAAAAAAAUGCAUUUUUCAAAUUUUUUGGCUAAUAAUGUUUAUGGUCUUGAUAUAAAUAAUUUUAUUAUAAAACUAAUUUAGUAAAAGAAUGCCAAUAGCAUAUUCUGCAUUACACUUUUUUAAAUAUUUAUUAUUAACUAAUAUUUAAUUAUAAGUUAAUAUCAAACAAAAUGUUCCUAAUAUUUUUCUUUUCGAACAAUCUUAUGCAGGUAGACAAUAUUAAAUAAUUUUUUAUUUUUAUUAAAUUUGUAAAUUUUGUAUGUAGUUAUACGUAACUUCAAUGGAAGUGCAUUCUUUCAUUUCUGUUUCUUUUCUCAGUAAAAUUGUUCUACCUUUUGUGUUCAGUCUUCCAUAAUUUUAUUUAGUUUUUUAUCUUUACAAAAUUUGUAUGUAUAUUUUGAUUUAUAUUAAAAAAUUAUAGUUUAAGGCAUCGAGUCAGCAAGUAAAUCCGAAAAAUAUUAUACUUAUGUCUAAUUGCUCCUUUUAAGUUUCCCUAAAUCAAAAAAAGAAAACCGAACAUUCAUGUCUAUCGAACAGUGAAUAAUCUCUUCAUAUACAUUAUUAUUUAGUAAUAAAAUAAUCAAACCAGUAAUUUAAUAUUAAAUUUGAUUAAAAGAUCUACUUCAUUAGAAUGACAACAAGAUUAACAUAAGGCUGUUUUAAAUAUAAUUUACCUAAAGAGUGGAAUAGCAUUAUUCCAAAGUUAAAUCAAGUGUUUUAAUUACUAAAAGCUCAUACAUGAUACAUAGUUUACAUAAAGAGCGUACAAGGCAAUGUACAACACCAAGACUUACAUAUCUCCGAAAGGAGUCAUCUGUCAUUUCUGACCUUCGCAGAGGACUUCAGUUUUGGAACCUUGAAGCUACUAGAGAACAGCUUAGGAGUUACAAUGGGAAUAACUGGAGGCUCUUUCCUCUUCAUGCUUCUUUUCCCCUGGAUAUUAAGAUUCAGGAAGUGAAAACAUAUAAAAAACAACAAGGAAUGCAUGUUUUUUUCUCAAACUUUCAAUUUUAGAACCAUGGGAAUACAUAUUUCUAUUGAAAUGAAUGCAUAGUUCAAGCAUUUGUAUUUAGGAAGCAGGCUGCUGCUUCAAUACAACCAUGCCCAUGAACAAAAGAAAGCCAGCAUUAAUCAAUAUGCCACCAGAAAAGCGCAUAAAUGACAAAUGCCGGCAGAAUUAACAAGACUACAAGGAAGAUAAGCAAACAGAAAAAUAACAUCCCAUACCCUUUCAGAAGAUUUUGCAGCUGGUUGUUCCGGUGUACGUAUUUCCUUCUGCACAAUCAUACUUCUACUCUUGAUGCUCUUAAUUCCCAAACCAGACGCUUUAUUCCCAUCGGAGCAAUGAUUUAAAACAGGUGUGACAUUGUUGUUCUGGAGUUUUCUUAAAGAUUCCAACUCCACUGAGAGUCCAGAUAUUUCCUUGUUUAAGCUUUUUGUCUCAGCCUCCAUCUCUGCAAUUUUACUUUCUAAUUCGCAAAUUUUACUAUCUUUUUCAUAAUUUUCAGACCGUAGCUGCUCCAUGCCGGAAACGAGUACCUUUAUCUUUUCAUUUGCCUUUUCUACUUCAGCUUCUUUGGUCUUUAAUUUAGCAGUGUAGUCAUUCUCCAUUAUUUUAUAUUGAUUCCACACAAAUUUCUUUUCCGCCAAGAGUUCAGACACCUCCGAAUACUUUUCUAGAGAAAGCUUAUCAUAUUCACUUUUUAACAGACUAAAUUCAUGGCAAGAACAUUUAUCUUUUUCUGCAGUAUUCCAAAUGGGUUUGUUCUCUUUAUCUGUGGUUCCUUUUUUCUUCUUGCCAGUAUCCUUAGAUUUUGUUCCUUGGUCCUGUUAUAAAUUGACUUUUCAGCAUAAUGUAAUACAUAAGAAAUAUCAGAAAACCCAACAAAUAUGCAACGCUGACUGACAGUUACAUACUUCUCUAACAGAGGAUUUACGAGAAAGAAUUUCAAACCAUUCUUUAAAAUCCCCCAACUCAUCCUCUGUAUGCUCUGUAAUCAUAAAAUAAAUAAAUGCAGUUAGAAUAAUGUCAAAUAAAAAUUCAUUCAAACACCUAUUAUUUCAACAAUUAACAAAAACUUUCCCUUGAGUUGAAAAAUCGAAGUUAUUAAUAAUUUAAACCACAAAAUGAAAAGAAAAUUCUCUGUAGCAUGCUAGGAGUGAUGCAUCAUCCAGGAACAGGAGCUUGCACAAUGGUUCAGCCAAUCAGGCAUUUAACCAUCUCAGCCAACCCUUACAUUCAUGUAUCAUGCAAAGUUAUUUACAUUUACAUCUGGGAAAUGAAAAUAUCCGAAUCAUGUUACAUCAAGGACCAUCCCAAGAUUGACGGGUCACAUAAACUAGUUCUCAUCCAAAACAUACUAAUUUAACCCUGCUCCUAUGCAAAUAAUUCCAGUCUGAGGUCAAAGUAAAUGAAUGUAUAGGUUUCCGCAGUAUUUGUUUUGGAUAACUUUCAAAUGCGAUGCGAUGCCUCAAGAGAAACCUUUUGACCCCCAAAAAAAAGAGACAAUUGUCCAAAAAUAAUCAUAUCACAAACAUAUGCUACUCUGUACUUUCCCCCAAUACUCAACUAAGGUACUUCAAAAAACAAAAUAACUACACCACGUCAAGGUACUCCAUUCUCAAUCCUUAAUAAAAACCACAAAACCAACUUUGCUCCUUGAAAGCAAAACAUUAAGGAAUAAAACGACAAAUGCAAAAACCUAACACCAAGAACCAAAAGCAAACACCUUUUCCCUAAGAAUGGCUCAAAGUAAAAACUACUAACAAGAAAUCAAAGAAAACUCACUGACCUAAAAUCCAUUUUAAUAUGGCAGCCUCUCUGUGCUUCAAACCCAGCGCCAAAUCCGCCUUUGCGUCCUCCAGAGACCGUUUCUUCUCCUCAAAUGCCAAAAUCCCAUUCAACUAAAGAAACAGUGGUAAUAAAAACACAUAAAAAAGCUAUUUUUUUAAACUUUAGCGGAGCCCUUAAAGAAGACUAUUUACCUGAGAAAUUUGAUCCUUGUGAAAGCGAACAUCGGAGAUCCACCCUUCGUGCUGCAUCCGAAGACGGUCUUCGAGAAAGUUGUGGCGGCUAGCGAACGACUGAAGCUGGUUCUGCUGGUCGCGCACCAUCUGAACCAGACAUUUGAAGAUAUUACCCCAAUUUCGGCGCUCCGUCAUAGCGACGUUUGUAGAUUCUGGUUUUCUGAAUUUCUGCAUCGUGAAAUCCAGAAGAAAGAAACUUUGAGUUUGGAAGAAGUGAAAGAGAGGAGACAGCAAAAUUGUGAAUUUCAACGGUCAAAUUUAGCGCCCGUUAGAUGCGUUAGUAAUUUCAAAAACUUCGAUGAGCUUUCAGGACUGAGAAUUUGAUUUUAAAAAGAUUGGGCCGUUGUGCUUUACCCGACCCAAUUAGCAACCCCUAACCCAAAGGUAGGUGGGCCCGUAUUUGGAGGAGGAUUGGGCUGUUGUGCUUCCGGCACCUUCAUAAUUGUUUCUAGCAACUUGAUAACGAAAGUGGUCUUUCAAAAUUUAUAAUUCUUUGGUAAAUGGUAUCUAACAUGUAAUAGAAGGUUUCUAAAUUAUGCACAUUCUAGAAAUAAUAUCUCCAAAAUGCGUAACGCAAAGGUUUUUUUUGUCAUAAUUGGAAAUUGUGUUAAGCAAAUAUGAGAGUGUUAGAAACAUUUGUGAUGAAUGUGUUUUAAUCUUGGUUCUAUAAAUUUUUACGUCCUAAAUUUAUUUUUCCUUGAUUUCAGUUCUUCUAAAAUUGAAAAUAGUAGUUUUUUUAUCCUAGUAUUAUGAUACUUGUUAAUUGAGGUGAAAAAUAAAUAAAAAAUAUUUUUAAUAAUGUUUUUUUAAAUAAAUAAUAAAUAUAUAGUAAAAAUACAUUGACAUAGAAAAUACACUAAACUUUCUUAGAAAACCCUGAAUUAAAAAGUCAUGUACCACUGAUAUAAAUUUAUGUGUAUAAUCAUAAGCUUCCUCAAAAUGUUUCUAUUAAUUAUUUUAUAAAAAUAUAAAGAGUCUUCAAUUUGUAAAAAGAAAUAAAUAAUUAUAAGCUUUUAAAAAAAAUAACAAUAUGUUGACGUAGAAAAUAAACUAAAUAUAUUUGUUUAAAAAACUUAAAUUCCAAAGUCGCGUAUCAUUCAUUUGUAAUGAAAAUUUGAUAUAUAAUCAAAGACUUCAUCAGCAGAAUUUUCUAUUAAUUAUUUUAAACAAAAUAUUUAAUUAAAAUGUUAUAUUUGUAAUGACCCCGCAAUAUUAUUUAUACUAGUUGUUAAAAAAAAAAAAACACACACACACACACUCUCUUAUAUAUAUAUAUAUAUAUAUAUAUAUAUAUAUAUAUAGAGAGAGAGAGAGAGAGAGAGAGAGAGUUGUCUACUUUCUUUUAAUUUUUUAUUUUUAAUUUGUAUAUAAACUAAUUUUAAUUUAUAAACAAAGUUAAAUUCAUUAAACUCAGUCCUGUUCCAAAAGAUACAUUCACAGUCACCUGUACACACUUCUGAAAUCCUCUAAACAACUAAAAUUUAUCUACCAUAAAAAGGAGAUAUCUCAAUACCAAUUUAAUUAAAAAGAAUAUGAAUAUGAACACCACAAUUUUCAUUACAUUUUCUGGUAUGACUAAAUUUUAAUAGUAGUUCAGGAUCUUGAGCACUGAAAGCAAUAUCAAGCUCCAUGGAUGGAAUUACCUAGUUGGCAUUUGUAUAUGGCUCUGCAUUCUCAACUACUUUCUUCAAAGCAUCAGCUCCAAGGUAUUGGAGAACCUAGGGUCAUAAGCCAUGAAUAAAGUAUUAUGUCCUGAAGGUAUAUAAAUAUACUGCAUUUGAAAGGUGAAAAAUACAAAUCAUAUUCAACAAUACUAACAACACACUUUUUCUAAUGAACUCUCUUUGUUAGAGUUCAUUAAGCAUGAACUGAGACCUAUAAAAUAUUUCGAUUUCCAAUGAAUAUGAACCAAUAAUAAAAAGUGUCAUCAGGAAGUGUGUGAUUAACAUUUCUCGUUUCAUUGGACCUUGAAAAGUUAUUUUUUCACUUGCCCUACAGAACUAAGAAAAUAUUGAGAACAUAGAAAAUCCAGUUAUACCUCAUUUGCAUCUUUGAAAGAGCUGAAUUCAUCUUUCUUUGGCCAGAGCACACGCCAACACCUGAUGACAACCAAAAAAGGAAGGAAAACACAGUAAAAAGUAAAGCAGAAGUGAAUAUUUAUUAUUGGAAAACGCCUCAAGUGCUGGAAAAGAAACAGAAUGUAUAACCAGUCAGAUCCAAUAAACUUUCUGAGCCAUUAUUAGGGUGCCAGAUCUGGUAACCAUUUUGAUUUAUUUAGUAGGAUAUGGAUUCCUUUGCAUGCAUGAAAUUUAAACCUAAUCCAUUAAGUAGUUCAGAUACCAUGAAUGUGUCUUGAACCUUAAUCGCUGAGCUUUAGGAUUUAUAUCCAAACUAUUCAUGCAGCAUGCUAUCAAAGUCUCAACUUUUACUUUAUAUUUGGUACAUACACACAAUGACAGAAAAUAAAUGACAUCAUGUAUAACCUUUCUCGGCCAAGGCGCCGUGCCAGUUCUUCUGCUAAAGCUUGACCUGGAGAAUCAUUAUCAGUUGCCAGGAUAAUGCGAACUGCCUAAAAGAACAAAGAGGAAACCAAGCUAAUAAGCAGUUCACUUCUGCGCUAUAAAGAUCCAACUUAAUGGGAAGAUAUCAAAUGUGUGUACCUUAUCCAAGUACUCUUUGCAGUUCCAAAUGUAUUGAAAUGCAGUGUCCUGAUUUCAUAAGCAUGCACAGAUAAUAUUAAUGCGAGAUUGAAACACAUACUUUUUGAGGGUGUAGAAAGAUAACCAUGGAUCAGUUAAGGCAGAGAAAGAAUGACUGGAAGCAAUUUGUUUUUGCUCUCAUGUUAAUCUUAGGAAAGUGAUGUGUGAUUAUGGUCCAUCAUCAAAAAAAUAAACAAAAGGUGAGUCCACAAGAACAGAAUUGAUACACAACGUCAGUAUAACAGAUCUUCAAAGAAUAAGGCUCCAUACUUGGACACUUUUGCAGUAAAAUGCAAUUACAUUUAAAAGAUAGAUUUUGCUGAAGAAGACAAGAAGCAUUAGGGAUGUCUGCAUUAAGAAGGCAUAGUACAUUGAAUAUUCACUCGGCUUUAAAAGAAGUGAAAACAAAUUUUAAUAACAGCACACGCACAAACCUUCUCUAUUGGUGGCAAAUCUUUUGAAGAAACCUUUACUGGUGCACCCACUGGAACACUAACACAAUUCCGAAAGCCAGCCUCCUCAAGUGAAAGCUUAUCAACUUCCCCUUCAACCUAUCAUCAUCAUUGGACUGUAAGAAUAUCUUCUAUUCUUUCCUUUUUCAGCUUUCAGUUGGGAAUUGUCAGACAAAAAGUGAUACGGAUGGAGAAUUAAGGGAGCAAAAUUUACAAUGAUGAUUUCAGAUACUUGUCUAAUGUCAUCAAUUCCAUAUAGUAUCUUGUCCGUGCCUCUUUCCUGAAAAUCAAAUCGAGCAUUUGAAUGAACAUGAGUUACUCAGUAUCCAGAUCAAUUAAACUUAAUAUCCCUCAACGUAGUCUUCUAAAGAAUAGGGUGCCAUCACAUUAUCCCUCCAAAGUUUUGUCACCAAAUUAGUCCCUUAGAAACUUGGGUAUCACCACAUUAAUUCCCCCCCAAAAAUUUUCAUGAUAUAAGUCCUCAAGGAUACAAAAUAGUUACCAUACUCCUCUGUGUCACCACUUAGUCUUCUACGAGAAUGAAUAAAAUGAAAUAAAUAUUAGACUUUUUAUGGAAUAAUUUAGUAAAAAUCUCCGAAGGACUAAUUUGAAGGAUUAAUUCAGUGACAAAAAUAUUGUUACAGCAGUCUCACAUUCUCUGUUUGUAAUCACUGUAAGUAGCCUAGAUUAUUCUUUUGGAUGAUGAUAAUUUUGGUUCCUGAGAGUAUAAACUGGUGUCAAAUUAACCCAUCAAAGAACUCAAAUUUUUAUUUAGUCCUUCAAUGUUUAAAAAGUGCAACAAUUACAUUUUGUUGUUAAGCUUUCGUGGGACCGUUUUGUCAUUAAGUUGUGAUGAUGUUAAGCUUUCACGACACUAAAUUUUGCUUUGUAUGACCUUUGGUUUUUUGUAAUCGUGGUAUUGUACGGAUUUUUAAAAACCAGUUGGAUUUUAUUUUUAAGACCAAUUUGACAUUAAGUUAUGAUGUUUCGGGACCAACUUGCACUUUUACAUACUUAGAGACUAAAUCAGAUUUAUCAUUUUUUCGACGACUAGAUCUGCAGCAGUUUACACUUUCAGAGACCAAAAUAAACAUUUACCCAUAUUCUUUUUGUAGGAUAGUUUAGUAGUUAGUUAUUGUAAAUUGUUUUAUUUCAGGAAGGGAGUUAUGACUUAUACUGUGGCUUACAGCUUUGUAUUAUUCAUUUUCUCAAAAAAAAAAUAAAAAAUUAUUCCAUUUGCAUUGAAGGGACGUGAACAAACUCAUAAUAAAUCAAGACACCAUUUUCAACCCAAAAUCUUAAGGUGAUUUAUGGUUCCUUCUACUUAUAUACUCAUCUUACUUUUUUUAACCCAAUUUGGGAUUUCCAACUCAUUGAAUUCCUAACAAGAAAUAGCAUCAAGAAGUGAUACUCAGUUGUUGACAGAACCUUUUGAUACAAAUUUGUAAAUUUUUUCCCGGAACAUUUUCUACAAAAGGAAGUGUAGGCAAGGAAGGAGAAAAUGUAGCCUUGCCUGCAUCCUCUUUUUUUUUUUCAUUUCUAACACCACAGUUGUCCUUUUUUUUUUCAUUGAUUGUACAUGAAACGCUACUGGUCAUUUCAAAAUACAUUAUUCAUUGUAAUGAAUACUAUUUGCAAACUGGAAAAGUUACCAGCCAAAAUCUUUUCUCCAGUGCUCUGUAUUUGCAACCAACAAGCAACCCAUUUUGUUUAUAAGUAAAAGCAAUGACUGCCUGCACAAAAUUUGUAGUACACAACGAAGUUUAGAACUUCUAACUAGUUAAGUUCUUAAGAACUAAACCACGUAUAGAAAUGUUUAUAAGACAGCAAAGAGAAGAAACCACAACAAUUAUGAUCAUUGCUAAGAUUCUUUUCAUGAUCUUGAAGCCAUGACAACUAAAGCAAAGUUUACUUCUAAAAGAAUAUAUACGAAGUACCACUCUGGUUCAUGUAAAUGGAUUUAUGUUUCCCUCCACUAUUGCCCCACUGAGGUUCAAUUGCAGUGGUUGAGACCGGUUCGAAACAGAACACGGACUUUAAAUAUAUCAAGCCAUGGCAGUAAUCAUUCAAUUCAAUUGCGAAUAAUGGAUUUUGCCAUCAGAACUCCACCUUUAAAGCUAUCAAGAAAACGUCAAUUAGCCAUCAUGAUAUUGCCAGAACUAUAUUAACAAUCUAAAGUCACCGCUUUAAGUUAAAAAUCCAUGAUAUUGGUCUUUUAGAUCAGAUUUCCAGAAUUCAAGAUGGCAAGAUCACUGAAGAUUCUUUUUCCCUUUUGAAAGGGUAUAUAUCAAUCAAAGAAGCAGCUAUAGGAGUCCCAGCACAAUACGGGACAGAGCACCAAUUACAGAUCUGGAUUCUGUUUAUCUAGCAAUUUAAAGGAACAAAUAUUACAGUUACAAAACCAGAACUGUGGAAAUACCUUAUUGUCAGACAGUUGUCUUACAGCAUUUCUGCUCAGGGUUUUCUCUGAUAUCAGUCUCUCUCUAAAGUACGCAACAAGCUAAAACAAGGAAAAACAAAAUCAAUACAUAACUAACACUUAAAGGUUGCAAUAUAUUGACGCAAGCACCUAAUGAAACAGUCUUUGACAUCUUGAUGAGGCAACACUCAAUCAAAAUAGAAGUUUUGCAUGCUCACACUUGGCCCUUCCAAAAUUAUCAACCAGAUUCAAUAUCAUGAUUGAAUAGUGAAGCUUCUAAGGCCAGCUUCUAAGGCCAUAUUAUUUACUAGCCAUUCCAUCAUAUUUCUAAACCUCUACUGGACCUUUGAUACUGAGAUAUUAAUUGAUAUUAAUUGACAUGCCACAGGUAACGGAAAAUGACCAGAUAUUUUAUGCUAAGAGCUUGAGGGUCAUGGGGAAAAAUGAUAUGUUAUUGAAAUUGAUUUGACACUAGAGCAUAAGUCCAGAAAAACCUUAUUUCAAAGUGUCAAGUAAAUCCUCAGUUAUUUUGCCUUAAAAAUUGGGAGAAUAAAGCUAAAAGCACAAGAAAGCCAAGCCCUGUGUCUAUUUCACCUAAAAAUAGUAAUUAUAACACAUUGCCACUCUCGAUAACCUUAAGAGUGCAUACUUUGUAUGUUGAAUCAGAGAACAACGAGAAGGCCAGCACACUUAAGAGGAUAAUCAUUUUUCACUAAUUCAUUUGAAUAAAAGACCUUCAAAAAGACAUCCGGUAUCAUAACAAUUACCAGAAAAAUGAGAGAGAUAGGUCACUCUGAGAAUAUGGCAGUUGUUCUACUGCUAUUGCCCACUAAAAAUGCCAAAAACAAGUUGUAUACCUUAGGACCAAGUGGUUCCAAUCCUAAGCUCUCCUCCGCUAUUUUUCUAGAAAACUUGGCGUUGGUACAAUCCCCACUGUAUAAUUCCUGAUCAUCUGCAAAAACCUACAACCAAAUAAUCAUGUGGAAACAGUAUGUCAUUGUUUAUUACAAGUUUUAUGCUUGAAAGGAGACAUAAUUUUAUAAAUCCAUGUUAUGUCACCUGACCAGCCCAACCACAUUUAGCUUGAAAACACCUCCACAUUGCAAAUUCGCUACAUCGCACAUUUGCCAAAACACAUUACAUCAAAACAUGCAAUUAUCACCACACACACAAAGCAAUUACACCAAGCAUACCCAUUAGAGAUAAUGUGAAAAGACAAACUCCUCUCCUUUAAUUGCCCACCUUUGCACUAGAAUAUCAAAACAGACAAGAGUCAGAAACCUACUUAAAACCAAACACAUACAAAAGACUAGGGGCAGCAAAUAAAUUCAAGUUUUAGAAAAAAAUAAAAGUAGAUACUUUUGGACAAAACAAAUUAUGGUACUGCCCGGGCAAACAAGAGUUUCCCAAGCUGAUGCCCAGAAGUUCCAUUCUCUCUUUCAAUACUUUCACUUUAUUGUCCACAACCUGCUCCACAACACCUUAAAAAUAACACGAAAAAUCAUAUAAGGGAAAUUCAAUAAAUAUUUUUUCUAAAAUAAAAAAAAAAUUGUUUAUGCACUAAUAGGAGGGUUUUAUUUAUUUUUCGCAUCUUAAACAAAACACAAACGGUCAUGAAUUUAAAUUUGUUAAACUUUUAAAGGCAACAGAGCAUAGAUAUUAAACUCUUAAAAAAGCUGAAUCUUUUGGCUGCCCAGAAAACUCAAACUACUAACAGUAACAAAUGGGGGAAAAGGGUAUCAUAAGAGAAGAAAAGCCAGGGUAAACGAUGAACCUGGAGUAGAGGGCACAGUGGUGUUAAGAGCCAGUGAACGACACCAAAAGGGACAUUUUCUUGUGGAUAACACUGCUGCAUAGGUUCUGGGAAUCAACUUGGAGAAUAGAGCUUGAGUGACGGAAAGACGCAGCCAUUGGUUCUGGAAAACUGACAUGCUUGGUUUUAAUUUUUAUUUGUUUGAGUUUUCAUUGCAAGUUUUGGAACGCCUGUUUGUUCAUCUAAAGCUAUUAGACACGAGAAUAGAUAUUUUUGCCUCCAUUGAAUAAGAAAACUGUUAAAAUUCUUGUGUUUCCAUAAAAUUCUAUUUAAUAAAAUACCGGAGGUUUAGUUAUGUAAAAUUAAUUCACUCAGAGGACUUAUACCCCUAAAUAUAUAUCAUUCAUAGAAAUUUCUACUAAAAAAAAUUGAAAAUAUUUAUUGCUAAGAAUUUCUAAUUACUUCUUUCAUUUCAUGUUUUCUUCUCACACCUUUUCCUCUCUAUAUAUCUAUCUAUUUUAUUAAAAAAUUAGUUUCAGCAAGAAAAUUCAAGAUUGCAUGAUAGAUUUUUUAACAGAUUAUUUAAUUCAAAAAAUAAAAAAUUAAGUAUUGUAUUUUGAAUAGUACUAUUUGCUAAUUAUUACAAAGGGCAAAGUUUAUUUAAGAAAAAUUCGGGCUCUAGGACGAAGAAUGGUGGUGCAGAAAGUGAUUGCUGGACUUUCUUAAGCUGGCCCAACUUUGGAAGCCCACCUGCAAAGCCUGCUUUGUUCACAGCUCCGCAAUCCCUAAUCCCGCAGUUUUCAUUCUUCCUUCCUUCCCCAAUUUUCACCUCGCUAGCACAGUACGUCAAAAUUGCAAGUCCAACACCUUCUUCCUGAAGGUAAGACAUGAUUUCUUUCUGUCCUUUACUCUCUUUAAAUGAAGAAAAGUUUUUGUUUUCAUGGAUAGAUAGAUAGAUAGAAUCCUCCAGUUCAAUUCGCUAAUCACUCAGUAUUUUUAUUAACUCCUCGGUACAUUUUCCCAGCGCUAUGAAAAUAUACCAAAUAAUGUACUUUUGAACUCGGUUUGGUUUAAUUAAUACCCUGAUUUAGUGGCCUUGCUCCAUCUAUUUUUUUUUUUCAUCGUAGAUUGCAGGGAAUGUAAAAUUUAAUUAUUUUUAAAUGUAAUUUCUUUUAUACUGGGUUGAAUUUUGUUGUGUUUCAUUCCAGUGGUCACUACUAACUUCAGUUCGCGUACUGUUUUUUUUUUGUUGCGUGCUUGUUGUGAUUCAAUUAUAGUUGCUGUCUUGUUAUGUAUAAAUUGUGAAAUAUGCAUAUUGUAUCUAAGGGAGAAAAAUAUGUGAUGGGCAUUUGGUGUUUGGAUUUGGAUUUUAACAAGAGUGGUUAUAGAUUCUCGUGGGAGAUCUGUUUCAAGUUUAGAACACUUCCAAAUUCGUUUUUCUGAUUUUGGGAUGUUUUUAAAAGGAAAAUGGUGAGUAGACACCCAAAUGUUAAUUGACACCUUGAGAGAUAAAUGGAGAGAAGUGUAGCUACAUAGGUGAUAUGAUUGAUAGGAAGAGAGAUGCGAAAGCUCUGCUAGGCUGUAUGGUUGGGUUGAUGGGCUGUUCACAAAUCAUUGUUGUUUUUUUGAAAUUGGAAGUGUUUGAAGUUGAUGUUUUACGUGUGUAGUAUGUUCUGCCUUCUUUUAUUUUAUGGUGAUCUCUUCUGUUUGAAGUGACUGGGUGAGAAUGUGUAUAAAUAUCUGAAGUUGUAUCUUCGAUCAUAUGUUAUACGUCGUCUGGUUCACAGCUCAACCUAAGUUUUGAAAUUGUUACAGGUUGGUGCUCCUACUUUGUUGAAGGAACAUCUUUUCCAAUAUAUCGGGUUCAUGAGUCAUAAUUUUGAUUGAACAAAGAGAUGAGGUUUACCCCCCUUUCCAGAUUAAUCUGUCGUCUCCCUCAGCGGGAUAUAUGUGGUCCCUUGCAAUCUCGAGCCUUACAGACUAAUUCGGUUCCUAAAGAUUCUUUGGCUAAGCCAAGAAAGUACAAAAUUCCUCAAUUCUAUGAUCCUUAUGGCCCCAGACCUCCACCCUCAGAAAAGAUCAUUCAGCUUGCAGAACGAAUUGGAGAACUAUCGGAAGAAGAACGGGGUCAAAUUAUGCCUACUUUGUCAGAAAGAUUAAAUCUUCCAAAGUUGCAGCCAAUUUCCACGGAUGGCUUGGACAUGGGUUCAGAAGGUGCUGCUGCUGGACCAAAGGUCGAGGAGAAAAAGGCAGAGAAAACAGCUUUUGAUGUGAAGUUGGAGAAAUUUGAUGCUGCCGCAAAGAUCAAGGUAAUUAAGGAGGUAAGAGCAUUUACUAGCCUGGGAUUGAAAGAGGCCAAAGAUCUUGUUGAAAAGGUUCCAGUGGUGCUAAAACAAGGAGUCACAAAAGAGGAGGCGAAUGACAUAAUAGAAAAAAUAAAAGCUGCUGGAGGAGUUGCAGUUAUGGAGUAGAAUUUUGAUUUUUGGUUGAGAUCAUAAUUUUCCUUAAUGUAUGUCUUUAAGUUCCCAUCUCAUGGUUAUAUCCGUGAAUGAAUUUUAGAAGAAAGUUCUAAUGGCACGAAACAGAUUUAACGAUUAAGAACCAGCUGUUGAAUAAUCUAUUUGAACCAUUUUUUGUUAGUUGGGUUUUCUGGUUCAUUACUGUAUCACUUGUAACUGCAGUGUUGGUUUGACACUUGUAACAGUCUGCCUAUCCUCUGCUCACAUAUUUUCUUCCAAGUGAAAUAUUUCUAGGUUCAUAGGCAAAAAUAUUUUAUGGAAUUUUCUUGUAGUUCUUUGAGAUUCUUGUAGUUGAUACACUAUACUUGCUUGUAUUCUGUUUGGACUGGUGCCUGGACCUCUUAUGAAGCAUUAUACCUCUUUUCUUACUCAAUUAGUUUAGUUGUUUCUUGUUCAAUAAACCUUCUUUAAGGAUAAGGAAAAGAAUGAUGAUGAGUUGUAUGGCUAUGGCUUGGCCAUUUGGCUUAGAUAUUGUGAUUAGUCUGAGAGUAGGUAAUAUAUGUUUUGUUUUCUUAUUUAGUACAUCGAAUGACCAUGAAAUUUGUGUAUAACACGGUACACAGGUCUUUUUUUUAUCAUUGUUCUUUCGUAUAAUUUUUUCAUUCUCCUAUAGGAACUUUUCAUGAAAAGGGCUUUUGUUUUAUCAUUACUUGAUUUGGUGACGACGACAAAGAUGUCGUGGAGAAUAUUAUAUAUGUUAUUAAUUUGUAUUCCUUUUCUUUUAACUACAAAUACAGUGCCCUUUAUUUUUGUAUUUACACAUAAGAUAGUUGCUCUUUAUAUAUAUAUGAUUGUUAUUUAAUAUGAAAUAAUUUCAGAUAAUCGAUAACAGUAAUUUCAACAGUUUAAAUGUCACAAACAAAAGUGUAAACAUGAAUUAUUACUUUUUUUUACAAUAAAACAAUUUUAAAAUAUUGGUUAUGUUUGAUAAAAUUUGUUGAAAAGGCAGUUGGAAAUUAAAUUCUUAGUUUAAAGUUGAAAAAACUAAAUUGAAAAUGUUUGAUAAGAUUAAUUGACCAACUAAAAGUUGUACAACAAUAAAUAAAUUAUGAAUAUUUAUGUAAAAAUAUUCUUUAAUUAUAAUUUAAAAUAGUUAUUACUUUUUAAUAAUAAGUUGAUAAAUUAAAACAAAAUAAACUAAUCUAACAUUAAACAAGUAUAAAAGAUAUAGCAAAAGAUGGUAUAAAUUUUGUCUAUGUAGAUUAUUUAGAAAUAUAAAUAUAAAAAAUUAAAUAAGCUAAAAAUUAUUAAAACUUCUACUUUAUCAAAUACAUAUAACAUAAAUUUAUAAAAACUUCAUUUAUCAAUUUAUUUAUUAUCUAGAUCGUAUGUUUUAACAACUACACAUAUUAUACUAAUUUAAUAAUUUUGAUAGUGACAUCCACACAAUUAGUAAAAGAAACUACACUGUCCUCUAACUUUCCGUUUUAGUGUGACAUUUUCAAUAUCGCUGUUUGUUUCAUUGCCACAUAAAUUAUGAUUUAUUCCUUAUACAAAAUAUACAUACAUAUCUAUAUAUAUAUAUAUAUAUAUAUAUAUAUAUAUAUAUAUAUAUAUAUNUAUAUAUAUAUAUAUAUAUAUAUAUAUAUAUAUAUAUAUAUAUAUAUAUAUAUAUAUAUAUAUAUAUAUAUAUAUAUAUAUAUAUAUGAUUUUCUAACAACGUUCACAAAAAUGUUAAUUUUUGUCUAAAAAAUUGUUAGAACUUAGGAUUGCCACGUUCACAAAUAUGGUCCCAUGCCCUUUUUUCUUGUCACGAAUCAAAAAAUGAAAAAAAAGAAAAAAAAAACCCAUAUCAGAUCUACUGACAAGAGUAUUCUGGAGAAUGUAACGUGAAAGAAUUGUUACUUGAAAAAAAAAAACUAGGAAAAGUAAAUAUUAAAUUACUAAAGAGAGAAGUUAAAGAUGUAAGAAACAGAAAGGUGGGAACAGGUGUCACUUGUUUAGAAAACGUUAUAGUUGAAUGACAGUAACAUAUGUCAGUUGAUGAAUGAAUGUGUCCCCCACUCAGUGGUGUUCCUCCAUAAUAACAUAACAGCACCUGAAUGCAUUUCCUUAAAAAGCUCAAACCUCUUUGAAACAACAAUUCCUUAGAUAAAGUUAAAUCUCUAUUUAGUCUUACACACUUCUCUUUCUCUCUCUCUUGAUUUCCUUAAGGGUUACGGAAGUGAAAUAAAAAUGGUAACUUCAGAUGGUGGCGGUGGUGGGAAAUUGAGGAAAGUUCUGGGUUUGGGAUACUGGGUGCAAGGAUUCAGGUGUUUUCCAUGGUUGGUUGUGAGUUUCUACCUCAAAGAUGGUCUUAAUGUGGACCCUUCCACUCUUCAAAUUCUCCAGAAUUCUGCUAAUCUUCCCAUGGUUGGGAAGCCCCUCUAUGGCCUCGUUUCAGACUCUGUCUACAUCUCUGGCCAGCACCGAGUUCCCUACAUCGCCUUUGGAGGUAAAGUUGUCUUCACUCUUUUCAUUUCUCUAUACCCUUUUGCCUUCUCUCUCUGAUUUGUUCAUGUUAAAGCCAAGUUGCAUACUUUUACUGCUGUCAAUAGAUAGUUUUUGGUUCCUUGCUGUUGGGUGUUGGGAAUUGAGAAUUGGUUCUGUUGUGUUCCUUCUUAUUCUGCUUUGGAAUAGAUAAAAGAAUAGAUGAAUGGAUGAAUUGAUCCUUUGUGUGUAUAACUAUGAAUAAAAGAAUCUGUCCAUUCGGUGUGAAGUUGCUUUAAUGGGAAAAAGCAUAAAGAAAGAGUGGGAUCGAGAUUCUGGACAUGAAAGAAAAAAACCAGAUAGAGUUUUGUAUCUUACUUUUUUGCUUUUGUUGGGACUUAUUUGAUAUUUUAUCUUAAGUCUGAAUCUAGAUUCUUUGAAUUCUUUUUAUAUUCAUGAGUACGUAAAACAAUAUUAUCGAUUUUUCCUUGCAUCAAGCCAAAAGCUGCAAAAGCUGGAAAGGGGUCUCGGACUGAAUUUGUUUAAGACUUGACUGUGAAAAUUGACAAGACUUCUUAAACUAACACUCAAUCAGUGUAUAAGAACUGUAAAAUGAAUUGGUAUACCAUUGUUGUUUGAAUGUAGAAACAGAACAUGUAAAUACUUUGUAAAAUGUGGAAGAUCACAAUUUUCUCUAGUAACCAGGUCUGUGGUCAUUGAAAUGGAUUUAUUUUCUUUAUUUUUGUUUUUCGAUAGAAGAAACUUUUAUCUGAAGAGUGAUUUGGAAUCCUUCUAAGAUAAAUUUAUAAUAAAGAUGGAAGGACCAAGAAAAGAGGCAUUCCUCAAAAUCCAAGGAAUAGCAAUUUAUGUUGGUGUCACUGCCAAAGAACAUUCCCUUCCCCAGAUAUUGUUGGUGGUUGUUGAGUGUAUGUAAUUUAACCUUCAAGGAUUCAAAAUUGAGCCAUCUGAAUCAGCAAUAUCAACCAUUUCAAUGUAAGCAAUGAGUCUCUAUCAUACAGGGGCAAAUAAUUUCAUUAAUGACUUCACAAUUAGCAUGAAUAGGUGACCUCUGGGUCUGAUAUGUUGCAUUGCCAGACUUUUCAGGAAUUUCCCCUUCUUUUUAUCAGUGGAAAUUCGUCCAUAGUUUCUUCGUUGCUAAAAUUGGAAUCAGUAUCAAAGUUUCUCCAUUUAAGUUCUCAUCUGUAAGAACAACUUUUUGUUGCAUUUUUAUAUUUUUUGCAACCACCCUGAUUCUUGGAUUUUGAUAUCUCCUAUUAUAUGGAAGAAAAUUCAUCAGCUAGAGUUUUGAAUAGAAUCAUAUACCCAGUUGUUGGAGAUAUAAUGUAAUACCAUUCUCUUGUUUUCACUUGAUAACUAAAGCUUUUGGGAUAGUUGUUUUAUGACAUGGCAUUGGAUCCUCUAGACCAAAUUGUGUAGACUCUAAGAAUUCACUCCUUGCCUCCCCAUUC
rnacentral:lncRNA from 1 species